rnacentral:lncRNA from 1 species
UUAAGAUUAGGUAAGAAAGUACUAUUGUUUUGUGCUAUAAAUCAUGUACAAUGCAAAUAAAGAAUUCAUGGGUAUUGAUAUGUGUAUUCAGCUUGUGAAAGAAUAAUUCGCAUAACAUUGAAAUGUUAUUUAAUAUGUGUACAUAAGGUUUGUAUAUUUGGUUACUUAAGUAUUAUGUAUACAUGAGAUGUUAUUAGUUGAUUCUUAAGUUGCAUAAAAGAAUAAAUGGAUGUGUGGUUAUUAUGACUAUUAGGUUUGGAAGUUAAUUUAUAUUGCAUUAAAUGUUUAUAUAUGUAUUCGGCAUAGGUGGUUAAUAAUGUUAAUGUAAUUCGUUUAGUUAAUAUGAGUCAAUUAUGAUAAUGAGUUGUUUAUUUGCUUAUGAUUUACUAAGUUGUGGUAGCUUCCUUUGUGUAUUAUGUUACUCUAUUUUAUAGAUUUUGGAAGUCAGCUGCAAGCUCGAGGAUUGACAGCCUAGUUCAUCACACUAUCUACUGCUUUGGUACCUUUAAACUAAAUUUAAAUUAUGGCAUGUAUAGGCUGGUUUUGAGGUUAAAUAUUUUGGAAAUGAAUGUAUAUAUAUUAGCCAUGCGAAAAUGGCUUCACCAUCUUGCUUGGAAUCAGUUAUGAUUGCUUCUGGUUGCGUUUAUUUUAGUUAUGGUAAUUUAUGCUUUAAUAACUAAUAUUUGUGAUAUGUGCUUGGUUGUAUAUCAAAGUUGAUUAAUGGCAUGUGAUAUGAACAUAUUGACUGUGAUAUGUAUGCCUAGGUAUAUUUAAAGGUUUUGAAUUUGAUUCUUGUUAAGUGUAAUUAUGUGAUCAUCCGAUUGGUGUGCUUUAAAAAGGUAUAAUUAAGUAGUUUCAUAUUAAAGACUAAAUAGUUAGACUCGACUGAGAUAAAAAUGCUUUGAUAUGUUAUUACAUAGUAUGCAAGAUCCAUAUUUUGACCAAGCAUAAAUGAGAUGGUUUUAACCAACUUGAUAAUAGAUAUAUGCUUAUGUAUCUAUUCGCGCAUAUAAUGGAUUAACUUAUCUAUGAUAUGGUAUUUUUCCGAGUUAUUACAUUGGGUAAAUAAUGUGGUUUGAAGUAUGCAUGAACGUAAUUCUAUGAAGCAUAUGUGAAUUUUGUUUGCCAUAUCGACUUUAUAGGAUGUGUAUUUUAUCACGCAAGUUGGCUUGAAAUUAGUAAAAGAUGUGCCUUUAUAUUCGACUAGUGAAGGGGGAAACAUAUACAUAUGCUAUGAUAUGAUGUUUGUAGUUCGGUAAAUAAGGGACAAGUUGCUAGUAAAAUGAUUGAGUUACUAUAUGUGCUCAAAAUUGGUUUAAGUCAAUAGUGUGAAAUAUGUUUGGGUUUGGUGGAACAUAGUUGCAUCUCUUAGGUUUGAUUGCUUAUUAAACCAUAAAUGUGACUUGUGAUAAAACCUUAUUCAAAUGUGAUUAAGUGCCUAUAUAUAUAUUCGAAUGGAUGUAUUAACUUAUAUUAAUAUAUGAAAUAUGUAAACUCAUGUUAACUAAUGUAAUCAUGCCGCAUAAAUGAUGUAUUGAAACUUGUUUUGUUUGACAUGUAAUUUGUACAUACGCAAGUCUUUUAUAUUAAAAAGGAAAUAGGUCCAAUGUUAAAUUUAUAAAGUUGUUGGUUAGUUAUAUAUAUUCUGUAUACAUAUAUAGUUUGUUUUGACAUAUGUUGAAUCAUGUUUUAACGAUGUUGUGUUAUGAAUGAUAUGAUUUUAAAUUUGAUAUUAGAUUAAGUUACGAGUAAUAAUGUCAUUAAAAUUUUGAGUUGUAAAUUGUAAUGCAUGAUAAUAUGAACUGUGAUAUGAUCAGUAAUGCCUCAUAGCUCUACUCCGGCGAUGGAUACGAGUUAGGGGUGUUACAGAAAUGGCGCCUACCACAUUGCGAACAUUCCGGUCUAUUUGGCUGAGCACUGCCGACACUCGCGACGGAGAUGGUCUGGGCCCUAGAAGCCGUGUUCUACUGGUUCUUGUUUCUGUUUGAGAACCCUACCGAAGUAUUUGAUCGGGUAAUGAAUUCCUUAGAUUUCUUAGAUGAGAACUGAUGCGAUUUCCCCAUAUUUCUUUUUCUUGAAUCGUGCGACUCAAUAGCCGCAUUUCUCCUCUCUUUGACCAACUCUUCUGUUUUGCAUGCUCUCCCAACGAGUACCACGAAUUCCCUUAACUCUAAAAUGACCACAAAUACUCGGAUAUAUUUAUUAAGACCAUCCUCAAACCUCUUACACAUGGUGGCUUCUGAGGACACGCACUCUUGUGCAUACUUGCUGAGUUUCACAAACUCACGUUUAUAUUCCAUCACUGUCUUACAGGCUUGCUUCAACUCUAAACAUUCUUUCCUCUUUUGGUCUAUGAACCUCUAGCUAAUAUACUUCUUUUGGUACUCUUCCUGGAAGAAUUCCCAAGUUACUCUUUCUCUCGUUACAAUGGACAUGAGAGUAUUCCACCAUUGGUAGGCCGAGUCUCGUAGGAAUGACACCACACACUUUACGCACUCCUCAUGUGUGCACGAAAGUUCAUCAAGUACCCUGAUGGUAUCCUCCAACCAAAACUCUACUCUCUCUGGGUCGUCAUCUAUGUUAUUCCGGAAUUCCUCUGCCCUUGCUUCUGUAUCUUGUCUACUAGAGGCUUCUUCCUCCUAAACACGUCUGCUCCUUGCGGAGCUACUGGAGCAUAUUGAGGAAUUGGAGGAGGUGGGAGGGGUGGAUUGUUCAGAUUUGCAUGAACAAACUCCGUGUACCAAGCAUCCAUCAUUCAGAGGUAGGCUUCUCUAGCCCCUCCGUCUUAGCCGUUAGUCACGAGCUCACUCUUAACUAGCGCGGUCCCUUCAUUGGGAACUGGCGCGUUACUCUCUACGUCAUCCGCCAUAGCUCUAUCAAGAUCCAUUUACUAUAUGAAAAUACAAUUUAUAAUCGUCAGGAGUCGUCACACUAUCAAUAUAUAGUUAUGGCAUGUAUAGCUAGACUCAUGCUAGGUUAGUCCUAGAACUGACUAAACCAUAGCUCUGAUACCACUAAAUAUAACACUCCACACCUGUACCCCAUGCCAGGAUAGAAUACGAGGUGUUACCCAACUUGAAUGCACACAUUCACACGUUUUCGAAUCACCAAAAUCUGGUCAAAUUUAAAACUUUUCCAUUCUAAAACAAAAACUCCAUAAUAAAAGCCUAUUAGGCUCUAAACGUUCAUUUUAAACCAUUCGAGAAUGAUUCGAGUCUUACCAUGAACCCUGAAAAAUGUUACUAGCCACAGGGGUACAUGCCCGUGUGGGAAGUGUGACAGUCCUAAUUCGACCCUAGUCGGAAUGUGGUUUCGAGGCCACAAGACCGAAUCCCAAAAUUUAUUUAAAAAUUUGGUUGCAUAUCCUCUAUGAGUAUUAGUGCAUGUGUGAAAAUUUGAUGUUUUAAUUUAGACUUAUGAAUGUGAAUUUCAUGUGAUUGACUUAGUUGAGAACUUAAGAAAAUAUGAUAAGGGGAUAUGUAAGGACCAAAUAAUAACAAAGUGAGGAAACUUGGGUUUGCAUGUCAAAUUGCCCAAAAAGCCCAAGUAGUGGCCGGCCAAGCCAUGAUGCCCAUCCACUAGGUUGAAUUUCAAUGCAAUUCUUUUAUUAGUUAGCAAUUAAAAUAAAUUAAAGAAAGGAAUUAAAAAGAAAAAAUGAAUAAAAUAAGGAAGGAAGAGGGAGUAUGCAUCUUCUUUCUUUUCUUGCAAUUGCCGUGAGUUAGGAGAAGGAAAGAAGAAAUGCUCUAGACAUUUGGCCAACUCAAAAGGGGUUGAUUAAGGUAGGAUUUAUGUUACUUUUACUAAAUUCUUGUGAAAAUCUAGUUAGUAGCCAAUGUCUUAUUACAACCCAUAUGUUAAUUUUCUACCUAAAAGGGUACUUAGAUGGCAUAUGGUUAGGAAGAGGUAAAUGCUAAGUGUAUGGUGCUUUUGAUGUUGUGAAUGGAAGUAGUGGAAAAGUAAAAGAAAAUUUAUGUAGAAAUGUGGUAUAUGUGGAUUUAUAGGAUGUUACAAAUAGAUGUGAAGCCAUGCUAGAUUAGGAAAAAUUCGGUCAAGUGUUCAUGAGAUGAAAUUUUGUGUUUAGGUGAAUUAAAGAUGAUAGUAUAGUUGAUAUCAUAUAUAUAUGUAUGCAUAUUCGGCCAUCAAAUUAAGAGCAUAGGUGAUGUUGAGUCUAAGCUUUGCACAUUCGGCCAUAUAUAUAUAUAUGCAUGUGUGAUUGGAUUAUAGAUAUUAGGGCGAUAGCAUAUGGUUAUUAGCCGAAUAGCUCAAAAACAUAUGGUAGGAAGAUAAGAAUUAGUCAUGUAUCUCCUAUGAUAUGAAAUCAUUAAUAUUUUGAUAUAAAUAUUUAGCAAGACGGUUAAACUAGUUAAUUUGUUGAUUAAGCUCAAGAAGUUAAAGGAGGAGAAUCAAGCAAAGGCAAAGGAAAGAACAUCGAGUAGCCGAGUUGGAACCGUUUUACCCAACACAAGGUAAGUUAUUAAGCAUAUAUAUUUUGUAUUGAUUUAAAUAAUCAUAAUACUUAUGUACUUAUGCCGAAUGGGAUGAUAUAUAAAUGCAUGUAGUGACAAAAUUAUCGAUUGUAAAAAGAAGUGAGAUGUAUUGAGUUGUUGAUUUCGGCACUAAGUGUGCGGGUAUAAACAUUACGAUAAUGAGAUUGGCACUAAGUGUGCGAGUUUAAUUGUAUAGCACUAAGUGUGCGAGUUUGACUAUUAAGCACUAAGUGUGCGGACUUACUAUAUAUUUUCGAAUAAUUAUUAACGUUAAGUGUGCGACUUUAUCGAGUAAAUCAUGGACAGCGGAAUGAGUAGAUAUUUUGAGUUCAUAAGGAAUAGAUGUUAUGUUUAUAUUUGGAACUGAGCUUGGUAAGUCUUGAACCUAUGUGGUGAUUAUAUUUGAAGUUAGGAACAUAAGAUUAUUGUGGAGUAGAUGAAAUGCUAUUAUUAGUAUAAUCUAAACGAAAAUAAAAUGAGGUGUGGAAAUGCAUCAAAUAUCAUAUCGAAUAUCAUACGAGAUGUCAAUGGAGGCUUGGCUAGUUGAGAGCAUGUAAUGAUAAAUGUGCGUGAAAUUAUAGCAUAGUCGGUAUGGAUGGAGUACCUAAUCUUGCAUUAUUUGUUUUCUUUUAUGAUAUUUUAUAAAUGGACAGCAGUGUAAUGCUUAUGACUUACUGAGUUAUAUACUCAUUCGGUGUGUUUAUUUGUCACUUAUUUAGGUUCCUUUGAUCCAUUUUUGUGUGCUCGGGACCAUCGUCGAAGUCAUCACACCAGCUUGCAACUUUUUGGUAUCUUCUUCUUAGUUGGUCUAAGAGAACAUUUCGGCAUGUAUAGGCUAUUAUGUUUUUUUUGAACUUUGGUAUGUAUACUUUUAGCCAUGCGAAAAUGGCAUAAAUGUUAAGUUGGAUUUGGUCUUAUGAUACUUAGUUAUAAGCAAUAGUUAAAGUCUAUUUGAUUAUUAUGCCAUUUGUCAAGGCUAAUCAUUUCCGGUGUUACACUCACGAUAUGGUUAUCGAGUAGUAAGGAAAUGCUUGGUAAUGAUUAGCCUUUGGUAUGGCUAGUCAUGAUCAUACUUGGUGAUAUGUUUGUUAAAUUACUCUAAUAGGUAAAAUUUACUCUAAUAAUAGAUGCAGACAGCAGUAGUGAUGUGAAAUUGAAAAAUCACUAAAAAUAGUAUAAAUUGAAUUAAAUAAUGAGUAAAUUAUGGAAUCUAAUCUUGAUGAGUCUAUUUUCACAUGGAAGAAGUAAAACAAGAAUAUGAGCUAUAUUGUAUGAGAUAUUUAAAAUCUCGUGAAACAGGGUCAGAUUGAUUUCUAGAUCCCCUAUUCUGAAUUUGAAAAUUCACCAUAAUUUCUACAAAGAUAAUUAGAAGUCAUACCUUAUAUGUAAAGAUUCCUUAUUGAGUCUAGUUUUAUUAGGGACAAACGACAUAGUCAUUGAAUCUCUGUACAGAGAGAUAUCUGGUUUGUAAUACACAGAGGUCAGAGUAGUUGAACCCUGAAAUAGGGGAGACUUUAACUAAUAAACUGUACUAAUUGGACGGACCAAAAAUUGUGGAAAAAUUUUAGUAGAUAGAUAUAUGAGUCUAGUUUUAGGAAAAAUUCGUGGAAUUAAAUUUUGAUUUUAAGAACUCAAGAUACGAAUUUUUAAGUUACUAUAACGCAGAUUGACAGUUUGCCUGGGAGUUUUAAAAUAAUUGUUUGAGUUGUAUAAGUGAUGAAUUAAGCCAGAUUACACCUCGUGUUCGAUCCCGGUGACGGCCACGGUUUCGGGGUGUUACAGGAAGGACAACACCCUCGUGUGACCAAUUCAAUAUGGUCGUGUUGUUGGCCCGUGUGGCUCACACGACCUAAACAAUAUAGGGACAUACCCGUGUCCUCUACCCAUGUAAAAUUAAUUCUAAAUUCGCACCUACAGGGGUUUUCACACGGCCUGGCACACACCCGUGUCCUUCCCACGGCCAUGACACGCCCGUGUGUAAAAACAUGGACAUUCUAUUUUUGAUGUCAGCAAUCCUUAAGGGUCACACGACCAAGGUACACGCCCGUGUGCUAGUCUGUGCCCUUCACACAGCUGAGAGACAUGGUCGUUCUCUGCCCGUAUGUUUACUAUCAUGCAUACUGACUUACAAAAUUUACGUGCAGGGACACACGGCCGGAAAACACGCUUAUGGGCACAUCACAGAGCCAAAAUAGUCAGAAUGGACAACAUUUCAAUUGUGUAAUUUACUCAUCCAUGAAAAUAUCAUCUUUUAUUAAUAAAUCAAAGUGAGUAUUGACCAUUAUCCAUGGCCUUAUACAAAAUAAAGGGAUCUAUCCCAAGCCAACACAUUUAGCUAAUUUCUUAAUGACACAAAAUAUUAAAGUCUAAGCCCUAUACAUGCCAUACUUAAAAACAAAUAAUCUGACUAUACCGAGUGCUUCUAAUGAUAGCGUGAUCGUAGUCUCUGACGUCUGAUGAUCAUUGAGCUAUUUAAGCAACUCUAUAAGAAAAUGGAAAAGAGAGGAAGUAAGCAUAAUGUAAUGCCCUAAUUUCUUAAAUCCCAAAAUCUCGGUUAAAAUUAAUUUUAUAUGGCUUGGUGGUCGUUGGUUUUGGAAGAGUCUAGGAAGUCGUGGGUUUAAGCCUAGACUUGAGAAAAAUUUUAUUCCUAAUUGAAUAAACCCUUGACUUCUGAUGAUAGGCCUCUUAAGUUAAUGUGAGGGUUGCGUGUCAUAAAAAGCCUUCUAGUGUGGUGGUAUGUGGCGUGUUGGGUUGCUUAAUGGUAUUGAGUUUAAGUCCUCCUACGCGCAAAUGUGUUCUAUUUUGCUGCUCUGGCCAAGUAAGACUUUUUGGUUGACUGAAACUCUGAAAGGUAAGUGGUUGAGUAGAGAGUGAAUAGCUGAUUUUGAGGAGUGGGUGGGGCAAUUAGAUAGGGGAGUUGGAGGUUGAGAGAUAUGGGGAGAGUUUUGAGGAGGAAAAUAAAGUGGUUUUGGGAAGAGUGGGAUUGUGGUGCCAAAAGUGGAAGUGUUGUUUGGUAGGUGGAGUUUCAUUUGGUAAAUUCGGUGAAGAGAUCAUUUGGGUUUUUCUCUCCUUAUUGCCGAUUAUCGCUUCUGGCUUUUCUACUCUAUUUUGUUUCUUUUCGUGACUCUCUCUAAGUAUUAUACCAUUUGCUUCUCCUCUUUUCCUCAAGCUUGGCCGAACUACUCUACUCUCUUCCCUUAUUUGCUUACUUUCAUCUCUGUUUCCCUACCCAUUGUCGAAUACUCCAUAUCUCUGUCCUUUUUGUUUAAUACCCCUUCGUUGUGAUGGUUCUACCAGAGAGUGAGAUUGUCUACCUCGUGCCUCAAAAUACUCGUUGGUAAGUCUUUGUGUGCUUUUUCUCUAUUGAUUUCUUCUCCUCUUGUCUUAACACCGAUUCUCAUCUCUAUUUUUUUCUUUCACUUGGUCAUUGUGAUACAUCGGGUAUUAGUACUGCUCGUGGGGUGAAGAGUUUUACUAGUAUUCCAGAAGCAACCGAAACCUCCUGUCAUCUCUUGUCUAAAGGUAGUAAUAUUUGUUGGUAUGAUAUUGGACUAAAGCAUUUCGGUUUAACGAUUUGAUGUCUUAGUCGAAUGCUUCUUUUCACCCUUGUGAGUUGCGUUUCUUUGGGGAUGCCAUAUUGUUCAACUCUUGUGGGUAAGCAGUAUGAUUAAUAGCUUCGUUUACCCUAUAGAUUAGCAUCAAGAAGUCCAUUAUCAACCCUCGUCGGUGAACUAAGUAGGCUAAACUCACACUCGAUCAAGCAAAGCGGCAAUAGGUAUUCCUUGAAUAAGUUUUCGGUUAGAGUUCUUUCGACUUGUGUGUUAGAUUUAACUGAAGUUGCUAUGAUAUUAGGUUGGAGUGCUCGAGUGCUAUUUUGCUAGUUUUCGCAACCAGGUGUGUGCAUUUACACUGCUAUUAACAUAGAUCAGCGAAAUGCCGAAAAAUUGAAAAGUGGGCUGUGGACAUCACAUUGGCAUGAGGCCGUCCGUGGGGCAGCCCAAGUAGUAAAAUGAGACCGUGUGGUCGACGAAAUGGCCAUGAACGAUUUCAUGGACCGAAUCGGUAUUGGGCCAAUUUGGGCCGGAAUGGUGUUGUAUGGGCCCAAUGGGCCCAUGGGCCCUACAUGGAAAAAUCACACAAAGUGUGGUAAGUUGUGGGCCAAGCUGUGUAAACUACACGGCUAAGGCAAAUUAUGGGCUUUGUGGGCCAUACGAGAGUACGGGCCCACAUGGGUGCUAUAUAGGCUAUAAGCCCAUAGUCACUGAUUGACUAUUAAGGUUGCACAGGUCGCCUAAGACGAUUGUGGACCUACUGUUGGGUCGGUAAGUUCUUAGACCCAUACUAAUGAAAUGAUCAUUAUACCCCUGUAUGGUAAAGAAACUGAAUUACCUCUAUAUUAUGUAUGAUUGUAUUUGAGCAUGACAUUUCUGCAUACACGUAUGAUACUAUGUUGCAUUACAUUGGGUGGGAUAUAUGUUUUGGAGGAAGUGUACUAAAAGGCUACAACCUUAUUACUGGCAGCUCUACUCCAAAUAUUGCUUAGUACCGACUGCGGUACGUUUUGGUGUGUAGGGCUGGGUGGGUCGACUUUGUCCCCACAUAGUGUGUAGGGCUGGUACGGAGUUGGUGUGUAGCGGAUGGAUUGGGUAGGAUUCUUUUCUGCAUACUGUGCUGAUAUGGGCUAAGGUCCAGACUAUUUUUAUCACCAAAAUGGGCUAAGGCCUAAAUUGCUACUGUUACUGGAAAGGGGGUUAAUGCCCUAACUGAAACUAAAAGGGCUUAGGCCCCGUUUACAUUACUCUGAUUGUUUGUUAUUUUGGGUUUUCGCACACUGAGUUUCAUAAACUAACCCAUCUGACAUCUGUGUAGGAAAUUCCCAAGCUUAGAUAGAUCAAGGCGGUGGAGGACUCACAGGUGGCCACUCGACCUAGUUAUUUCUUUUCAUAUUAUUGAGAUUUUAUAUUGGGUUUUUAUUAUGUAAAAAGGCUACUUUAAUUUUUACUUAAUUUGGGAUAUUUAAUUAUCCUAUUUUUAUAUUACACCUGUUAGUAAUAGGACGCUGAUUUCCGUGAGAAUAUAAACAAAUCUUUUUUUCUGAAAACAUCACGCUCACGCAACACGUUUAAAAAUCUUCCGUAACAAACAAGGUUUUUUCAAGUUAAUAAUAAAAUGGUUUAAAGUUAGUAAUACGUUAGCUUAUAAUCUUUCUUUUACAAAUCUAAAGUAGUGGUUAACAAGAACGGAUCUUUCAACGGUAAAUGUUUUGGAAAACACUCCAAUGUGACAUCGUACAUUUGGCCACAACGUCUAGGCUGGGUUUGGGGUGUUACACAUAAAGCUUAGUAAGUUGCAUGCAAUAAAUAUAACAACAACUUUACCAUUCAUCAUCAUGAUCAUAGUACUAAAGUGGGCAUAAGCACAACUUACUCAUAAAUAACUAAUGCAAUUCACAUAGCAUAUAUAUAUUGAGCUCACGUCUCAUACACUUCAAAUAGGUACCUAUACCAUUCACAACCUGGUUAUGUUUUUCUCGUUUAACUGAAAUUGUAACUCUCACCGUUGGACCAUUUGGUAUGCUAUCAGAUAUUCAUUAAGCCUCAAACAUAAGGUAUAAUGCCGAUGCCAUGUUCCAGAUAUGGUCUUACACUGACUCAUCCAUUAAGUCAAUGCCAAGUCCCAGACAUGGUCUUACACUGACUAUCGAGAUCGAGAUCAACACAAUGUCCCAGAUAUGGUCUUACACUGGCUCUCAUCUCUCCGUGCUGAUGCCAUGUCCCAGACAUGGUCUUACACUAACACAUCUCGUAGUCAAUGCAUGUCCCCAACAUGUCUUAUGCUGGCUUACGUCGCGAGGCUGAUGCAUGUCCCAGACAUGUCUUACACUAGCUCUCGUUUCAAUGCCAAUGCCAUGUCCCAGACAUGGUCUUACAAUGCCUCUCAUAAUGUGGUCGAUGCAUGUCCCGGACAUGUCUUACACUAGCGCACAAAUGACCCAAAUGUCAUGGCGUGAAUAUGCGAUUUGUUCCUAAGGUUCUUACGAGUGUUCUACUAUCUCAAAAUUCGCCAUUCAUAAUCAUUUCCACAAACAAGCAAUUUAUGCUAUAUCAAUUCAAACACAUAUAAUAACAAUGUAGUUGUAUUAUUUAUAUACAACUUACCUCAGUUACAAAAUAUGGUGUCAAGUCGGUCUAAUCAAUUUGCUUGGCUUUCCCCCAGUCUAAGUUCAGAGUUUGAAUUUUUUGAUCUAUAAUAACAAAAAUUCACAAAUUUAAUCACUUUGUCAAUCUAGGAACUCAAUAAUCUAUACUUGGGAAAAAUGACUAUUUUGCCCCUAAAAUUUUACAAAAUAACCAUUUUACCCCUAGGUCAGAAAAUUGAUUUUUGUCUAAUUUCCUCCUAUUAAAAACCUAGCCAAACCCUUAAUACUUUUAUAGUAAUCCAAAAUUUCCACUAUCACACCCAUUUAUCAACAAAUUUCCAACUUAUGCCAAAUAGUCCCUAUUAAUGUUUUCAUGAGGAAACCCUUCACAAAAGUUGCUCAUUACACAUCUAAUACUCAUAUUCUUCCCUAAAAUUUCAGAAAACUAUACAUAUGCUUUCAUGGAAAAACCCUAAACUCUCUACCAUUUUGCAAAAUAGUCCGCUUAAUAGAAAGCUUAUGCUUCAAGGGUCCAAAAAUGUAAAAAUCAUCAACAAAAAGUAUGUAAAUCACUUACUCGCAAGAGGAACAAGUUGGUGAAAUUUUUGAAGCUCAAAACCCUUAAAAAUGACUAAAAAAAUAGUGGUAGUGAAGAAGAUGAGAAUGUGAUAUCAUCUUUUUCUUAAUUUAUUUCUAUGUUAGUCAAUUUACCCAUCAAACCCACCAAACUUGGACUUUUUUACCAAAUUGCUUCCUAUGGCCGGCCAUGCACUAUCUUAGGGUCUAAUUGUCUUUUAAAUACCUCCAAUUUAGGUUCUCUAGCUAUUUGGCACCUUUAGCUAUUAAAAUAGAACUUUUGCAUUUUAUGUGAUUUAGUCCUUUUUCUAAAUUAAGCCCUCAAAAUGCUAAAAUUACUACACCAAAAUUUUCUUACACCCUCAUAAUCAUGCUAUGAUCCUAAAAUAAUUAAUAAAAUAAUUUUCUCGACUUCGGAUUUGUGGUCCCGAAACUACUGUUCCGACUAGGCCUAAAAUCAGGUUGUUACAAUUCUCCCCUUUAGGGAUUUUUGUCCCUGAAAGUGUUACCAGUGAAUAAGUUCGGGUAUUGAUCUCUCAUAGUCCCCUCGGGUUCCCAUGUGGCUUCCUUGAUUCCAUGUCUAUGCCAUAAAACUUUCACUAGUGCUAUACUUGAUCCCACACUUGAGGUAAUUUGUGAUUUGAGGAUAGUAAAGAAGACCAUUCAAAUGAAAGCCAGGAUCAACUUGAGUCUAACUUGCAUAAAGCACAGGUACAUCUCGAUUUUGGUUUAUUGCUAUAUAUAACUCAACAUGCUCAAUUUUAAGAAAAAGUUUUAAACUUCCACUAUAAUUCAAAAUAACUUCUUUCCUAAUCAGAUUUUUCUAACACUUUGAAGCUAAAAUGUGAUUCAGGGGAGGCAUGUCUUGAGACAUGGCUUCAUUGUCUCCAAACACCAAUGUGCGACUCAACUUUUCGACCCAAGAUUCAUAACCUCAGACCCUAUACUUCUGUAUGUGGGCCCCAUAAAUCAUUUUUCCAUAAAUUUUUAUAUGCAUAUUUUUUAAUGAUGGAUUUCUAUUGCUUGAUAACUAUUUCUUUAAACUACUUUGACAAUGAAAAUGGUGUCUUGCAUUCAGAUCUGCCCGAGUUAGGUGUAGAGUGUUACAUAACUUCCCUCAAAACUCUUAAUGGUAAUAUCUCAACUUCAUCCGUUAGAUCUGCUUCCAUCUCAUUACCACUAAAAAGGGUGUAGCCCUUGUUGAAGUCUUCAAAAUUGUAUGAUAAGAAUAAAAUACAAAUGUGAGUUUUAAUUCCAAUUCUUGUAAGCUUUCAUGGUUUUAUAGAUGAUCCUUCUAAGGUUAUUUUUAGUUGACUCUACCACCCCCUUUUAAUCUUAGGUUAGUAUGGCAUAGAAUUAUGAUGCUCUAAUUCAUACUGACCAUAAACUUUAAAUAUCAUUGUAUUAUUCAAAUUAUUGGUGUUGUCUAAAAUGAUUCUUUCUAGCAAUCCGUAUUGGUAAAUAGCUUCCUUUUUAAAAAAUCUUCACACUGUUGACCUCGUCACACUAGGAUAAUAAGCUACCUCUACCCAUUUUGUGAAGUAGUCGAUUACCAUAAAUAUGAACUUGUGUUCAUUAAAAGCCAUCGAAGAAAUUGGACCAAUCAAUGGCUAUGGUGUUGCAAAUACAUACAAGUUAAUCACAGUGAUAUUAAUACUAUCAGCCUAAAUUUGACACUUAUGACAUUUUUUAGCAUAAUCAAUGCAAUCUCUAUCCAUGGUCAUCUAGAAGUACACAACCCUAAUAAUUUCUUUAGCCAUCAUAUGUCCAUUUGUGGGUGCACCAUAUACCCCGUCACAUACUUGAUAGGCGUGUCCAUGGUCGUGUUAAAACAAGACAAAUAUUUCCCCAAGUCAAAGUGACACACAGGCUACGAUAACUAGCCACAGCCAUGCGAUACGGUCGUGCGAACCAUACGGCUAAGGGACAGAGCGUGUCUUAUACCAUGGCGAAACUGCACUUCGAUUUCGUUAAAAUUGGCAGAAGCACGGAAUGCGUUAAAUCACCACGGCCGUGUGAUACAGCCAUGUAGCCCACACGGUCAUGAAACACGAGCGUGCCUGAGGCUGUGUGGGAACCUGAGCAUACACCUUGAAAUUUUCAAUCAGAAUGGGAAACGGGCAUAUCCCACGGCUGUGCUCAAAAGCCGUGGAUAAUACUGACUACAAACAUGGGCGUGGGAGAAGCGAAUGAAAGAGCACACGGUCGUGUGACACGGCCAUGUGUGCCGCAUGGCCUGGGUACACGGGUGUGUCUAAAAAGCCGUGUGCGAUACUGACUUAAAAUUUCACGAAAAACACGGGCUAAGAGCGAGACACACGGGCGUGGGCAAUGGCCGUGUGGUCCAAAAUGAGGCCUCCAUGACCGUGGCCCCCUUUUUAAUUAAAAACCUAACCCUAAAAUCCCCUCAUUCCUAUUUAAACCCAACUAUUCACCCAUCACACCUCCUUUCACUAUUCAUCUUCCCUACUCCAACCACCAUUUCCUAACGAGCCUCUGGCGACCGACUUCCCUGCUCUCCCACCCUUCCUUUCUUUCUUUCUUUCUUUCCUUUCCCUUUCCCUUUCUCCUUCUUUGCUCACCCCUACAACCCACGACCCCCUCUCCUUCCUUUUCCCUCACACAAGUUUUGCCCCACGCCCCAAUAUCAACCGACCACCACUGUUUCCCGUCUCCAUCGAUUCUUCCACUGUUACAUUUAGCUAUUUAUUUACAUAUUUAUUUCUUUUCUAUUUUAUCUUUAUUGCUAUUUCAAACCAUUACCUUAUAUUUUGUAAAAUAGAUUGUUUCCCAUUAUUUUUUUAUGCUUAAGAAUUAUUGAUUUACAACAUACUGUGAUUAUUGGAAUUUCUCUUUGAUAGUUAGUUUACCAUUUGAACUUUACAUGCUUAAACAUUUAACCUUAUUUCAGUGUUAUCUGACAUACAACUCUUUAUUUUCACAUGGUUCAUUGUUCACUUAGGAUUAAUUUAGUUAGGUUCUUUGAUUUCUCUAUUAGGUUCUUAGGCCAAGAAUUCAUAUUUAUGCGCAUAUUUUCUUUCCUGCUAGUCCCACUAUAUGCAUUAUAUUAUGAUUUAUUCUUUGGCAUUUUCUGACUUAGUGGGUUCUUGAUCCUCAUACUUUUAUUGAAUAUUUUCAAGGACACAAUGAAAAAUACUCAUGGUAAAACGUCUGCAGUCCCAACUUCUAAAAAGCAAAAGGGAUCGGGUGCGACCUCCUCGGGUGCGACCACUGAGGUGCGCCAUCCUUUUUCCAAUUCCCACCAGGACCUUAGAAGGAGUUUUUUCAGAUUCUACGUGCACGACCCCUUGGUGUGGGUCAGUGCAUCAAUUGGGCCGCAUUAGAGCAGGCCCACCUGGCUGACUCAGUUCGAGCCCUCCUCGGUACCGCUCCUUGAGACCGUUUCUUCAACAUUAUUAAGAUGACAUACUUGGAUUUCACUUUGGAACUUUGUUCAACAAUUCAAUUACAGAUGAUUAUGUCAGAGUUCGAUGACCCAGGCAGAGUCCAAUUCCAUCUUGGCGGUCUAGUGCAUCAAUUGAGUGUCCCAGAAUUCAGAGUUGCCUUGGGACUUAAUAUAAAACAAUUUAUAGAGGCCAAAAAUUUUCCCCAUCUCUACCGUCACAUUCAUUACGCAACUUCCUCAUGUUAGGCAACACUCAUUCUUGCUACGGGCAUCUAUGACCCCAGCCACUCCAAGGCAUCGGGUCUCUCUCCAGCAUUACAAUAUCUCCAUGCCCUUUUAGCUCACACCUUAAUAGGGCGACGAGAGAGCACUAGCGUCGUUAAUACUCACGACACAUACUUCUUAUGGAGCAUGAGCCAAGGGCAUGUUUUCAAUCUUGCAUACUUCAUAACCCUCGCCUUUCGCCAUCAGACUGAACAACAUAGAAAGGGAGCCAUCUGCAUUGGCCCUUACGUGACUCGUCUAGCUCGACACUUUGGGCUCCUGAACACAUUGGCUCAAUCCUCAUCACUCACACUCAUCAUUCGGAUGUCCCCACAGGGCAUCUCAAGUAUGCUCUACAUGAGGAUGAUAGAGUGUCGCCGUGGGUUCGAUCCUCUUCAAUACCGACUAGCACGAGCCACUGAUCAGGAUGACCCCGAGGAUAUUAUUGACGAUAUCCCUUCCUUUCAUGAGGACCCACCUUCUCCGACACCGCCAAGUCACAGACCAGUUCAUGCGGCUACUUCAUUGAUAGAAAUUUCUGACCACCUAACUCGAUUCGAGCAAUAUUACACUCAGCAGUUCAACAGCACCGCUCAGCGAUUCGACAGCAUAGAGGCGACUCUGUAAUAGAUUUGUCAGCAUUUCCACAUUUCACCUUCGGCACCAGCACCUCACGAUCUACCUGCCGAUGAGGACUUUUGAGUCCAUUUAUUUUCACUUUGUUUUGCUUUUCCUUUUGUUUUUAUUUUAAAAGUUUUAGAAGACUUUUAGUAGUAUAUUUUGAACCCCUUAAUUAUAUUGCUAUUCCUUUAUGAGUAACCAUAACAACCCCAUUGAUAUAACUCCUUAAAACACUAUUGGUGAUAUCAUAGUUUCAAAAGGUUCAAUCGAUUGGUUCUGUUCAGGAAUAUACAAACAAUCUUAUGGGGAAAGAUAAUCCACGACUGUCAUGUCCUGUAACAUCUCGAAAUAGGGCCUAAACGGAAUAGUGAUUGCGAAACCACAAAUUUGAGGUAGAAAAAUUUAUUUUAUUAUUAUUUUGAGGUUCAUGAUAUGAUUGCGUGAUUGUGUGAAAAUUUCGUGAUUAAAUUCUAUGCAUAAAGUGCUUAAGUUGAGAUUAGGGACUAAAUCGAAUAAUUUGCAAAACUUGCAUUCUAGAAGUUUUUAGUAUGAAAUUGCUUUGGAAUAUUAAUUAGGAGGGUUUAAAUAACAAUUUUACCAAUUUCUAAGUUCAUGGAAAAAAUAGGACAUGGAUGGAAUUUUUGAAAGUUUAAUAAGGAAGGGCAUUUUGGUCAUUUGGAUAUUAAAUGAAAUAAAAAGGGAAAAUAACACAAAAUUCAUCAUCUUCUUCAUUAGCACGAAAUUUCAAGGGUUCUCCAUAGCUAGGGUUUGUUUCAAGAUUUCAAGCUCUAUAGUAAGUGAUUCCAAGCCCCGUUUUUAAUGUUCUUUACGUUUUCGGAGUCCCGGUAGCUCGAUAAAGCUUAUGCUAGCAAUAAUUUAAGUUAGGGUUCAUAUUUGGAAAAUAACCAUAGGUGAAAAGUGUUUAUUUUGAUUUUUUAUGAUAGAAUAUGAGGUUUUAAAUUAUGUUAGACAACUUGUGCUUCUCGGUUUUAAGUGAAAACGAGUAAAAGGGCUUAAUCGGUAAAAAUACCUAAUAGUCAUAAGUACAUGUUAGAGUGUGAAUUUGAUGUUGUCAUAGAAGGGAAAAAUGAUCAGCAUGUCAUAAAACAUAAGAAAAUAGGAUGAAGUUUAAAUUACGAGUGUUGGGGCAAAAGUGAAAAUAUGUGAAAGUUUAGGGCAAAAAUGUAAUUUUUCCAAAGUUUGGGUCAAGGACUGUUUUGAUAAAUGUGAAUAUUAAAUAAGUUAAAUUUGCUAUUAUAGAUUAAGAAGAGCGAAAUUCGGGAGUAGAUCGGGGAAAAGAAAAAGUAAAGGACUAAAUUGUAAAGUUUAGUUACAUUUUGUAUCGAGGUAAGUUUACAGUAAAUAAUUUCAAUAUUCUUUUAUUUUACAUUAUUAUUGUCAAUUUCCAGCAUUUAUAUACUUAUUUUCUUUGAAUAUUUAAAGUCGAAUUAAAGGCGAAGUGACAGAGAAAAAGCAUUAGGAAGCCCCGUUUGAACCUUAGGAAUGUUAGGAUAUUGGGGUUGACAGGACAGGACAGAAAUGAGCCAUAUAAGUCCAUAUCAGAUAUAUGGCUUUGGAGAUAGGAAUGAGCCAUGUAAGCCCAUAUUAGAUAUAUAUAUGGCAUUGGAGACAGGAAUAAUUCAUGUAAGUCCAUGUCGAAGACAUGGCAUUGGUAGGAUAUUGAUAGACAGGAACGACCCUAGUAUCCUUAGUAUUCCGAGUGGUUCAACGGGUCAUUGUACACGUUAAAUUACAGUGAAUUAUUAGGAAAAGGGAAUAUAGAUUAUAUUUAUGAAUAGUGAAAGGUCAGGUAAGAAAGAAGGUAAGUGAGUAAUGAAGAAGGUAGAAAAUGAGAAGUAAAGAAUGUUUAUGAGGCUAGGUGACAUUAUGUAUAAUUAUUCAUUAUGUUGAAUGUUGUAAUUUAUUUGCUUGUAAGCUUACUAAGCCUAGUGCUUACUCUCUUUAUUUUCUUUUUCUUAUAGUUUUUAUCAAGCCACUCGGGGAUCGAAGGAAACGUCGAAGACCCGAUCACACUAUCGAAGAAAUCACAUUGGUAUAGUUAGACGUUUCGUUUUGUGUAUGGCAUGUAUAGGAACUUGGUUUAUUUUGAUAUGAUAUGAUCAAUGAAUGAUUUGUAAAUACUUGCUAGUGAUUAGCUAAUAGAGUGACUGAUGAUAUACAUGUUUAAUAGUAUGUAUGAUUAAGUAGUAACUAUCACAUGAAAACUAAGAAAAAUGUGAAAGUAACUUAAAAAUAGAUUCAAGUAUUAGAAAUAACGGGAUUUUGAAAAAUCACAAGAAAUUGUAGAGACAUCGUUUGAUGGUGAAUAAUAUAUGAAAUUAAAGCUCAUUGUGUCUAUUUUCAUAUGGAAUAAGCAAAACAGGUAAAGGUUUUGUAUUUUAUAGGGUAUCUGAGUUUUAGUGAAAUAGGGCCAGAGCAAUUUCUGGAUCCCCUAUUGCAACUUUAGAAAUUCACCAUAAAUUUUACAAAAAUAAUUAUGUGGUUUACUUUAUAUGGUUAGAAUCCUUAUUGAAUCUAGUUUUAAUAUAAACAAACGUUAUAGUCAUAUGAUUUUUUUACAGAGAGAAAACUGGUUCGUAGUAAGUAGAGGCCAGUGCAAUCAAAUUCUAAAAUAGGGGUAACUUUAACUAAUAAACUAUACUAAUUGGAUAAGUAAAAAAUUCUAGAAAAAAAAUUAGUAGAUAGAUAUAUGAGUCUAGUUUCAGGAAAAAUUUACGGAUCUUAAUUUUGAGUUUUGAAACUCGAGAAAUGAAUUUUUAAGCAACCAUGACGCAGAAAAAUAGUUUAUUCCGAAAAUUAAAAUAAGUGGUUUAGAGUUGUUUAAAAGGUAAGAUAAGUUUAGUAACACCUCAAGCUUGGCUCCGGUGAUGGUUUCGGGCGUGGGGGUGUUACAUUUAUUGGUAUCAGAGCAAGUUUAGUCAGUUCUCGGAAUAGUUAGUGUGAGUAAAAGUCUAGCUAUACAUGCCAUACCUGUAUUUUGAUAGUGUGGCGACUCCUGACGAUUUUUAGAUAUUUUGUUUUAUAGUACUGGAUCCCGAGUGAGCUGGUGAUGAUGAUGUAGAAAGUAAUGCAUCUGCUCCCGCGGAAGGAGCAGUGCCAUCUGAGAAUAGGCCAGUAACAGAUAAUCAGGGAGGAGUGACUCGAGAAGCUCUCUUCCAAGCUUUGAAUGAUUUGUUUACCGAGUUCGUUCGUACGAAUCCGGCAGUUAGACCUCCACCCCCUCAUGAAUCUCAGGCUACCCAUGUAGCUCAAGCUCCCCUAGUCACAGGUACAAUGAUAAGAGAAAAGCUACCAGUUGAUAGAAUCAGGAAACAAGGGGCAGAAGAGUUCCGAGCAACAAAAUAUGAUGAUGCAGAAAGAACAGAAUUUUGGUUAGAAAAUACUAUCAGAGUCUUUGACGAAUUAUCUUGUACACCGAAGGAAUGUAUGAAAUGUGUAGUAUCACUUCUUAGAGACUUAGCCUACUACUGGUGGAAGACACUUGUAUCAGUUGUACCAAAGGAGAAGGUCACUUGGGGUUUCUUUCAGGAGGAAUUUCGUAAAAAGUACAUCAGUCAGAGGUUUAUUGACCAGAAGAGAAAGGAAUUCCUGGAAUUGAAACAAGGUAAUAUGACAGUGACAGAUUAUGAGCGCGAAUUUGUCAGGCUUAGUAAAUAUGCUCGAGAAUGUGUGUCCACAGAGGCUAUUAUGUGUAAAUGGUUUGAGGAUGGGUUAAAUGAUAAUAUUCGACUAUCAGUGGGUGUCCUAGAAAUAAAAGAGUUCGUUAUUUUAGUUGAGAGAGCCUGUAAGUAAGAGGAGCUGUUAAAAACAAAAGGCAAAGUUGAGACAGAGACACAAGAUACAAAGAAGAGACAGAUGAGCAGGUCAUUCCAGGCUACAUCCAAAAGACCAAAGGAGUUUUCUACCAGAUCUAGUUUCUCAGUCGGGUAUUCUAGUCAAAAUAGAGGCAGCAGAUUUAAGGAUUCGAAGGCUCAGAACACCUCGACUGCGAGUGUAGGUAAUGUUGGACAGGGUAGAUCAGGGUGUCCACAGUGUGGUAGACUUCAUUAUGGUCCUUGUCGGGCAGGUGAAAAUGUUUGUUAUAAAUGCGGUGCUCCAGAUCAUUUUGUACGAGAAUGUAUAGAGGUGGCUAAUCGAGAGAUAACACAGAGUGCUAGAUCUAGAAAUGCUCCUACUAGAGGCAGAUCACCGAGGCAAUCGGGAGUAAGAGCAAGUAACAGAGGUACCUCAAGAGAUUCGACUGUGAGACCAGAUGUUAGAGCCCCUGCAAGGACUUAUGCUAUUUGUGCACGCGAAGAGGCAUCCUUCCCCGAUGUGAUUACGGGUAUAUUUUCUCUAUAUGAUAUUAAUGUCAUUGCUUUGAUUGAUCCGGGUUCAACUCAUUCAUAUGUUUGCAAGAAAUUGAUGUCUAGUACAAGUAUGCCUAUAGAAUCUACAGAAUUUGUGAUUAAAGUAUCGAAUCCAUUAGGCAAGCAUGUAUUAGUAGAUAAAGUAUGUAGAAAUUGUCCUUUGAUGAUUAGAGGCUACUAUUUUUCGGCCGAUCUCAUGCUAUUGCCAUUUGAUGAGUUUGAUGUGAUUCUUGGUAUGGAUUGGUUGACUACACAUGAUGUGAUAGUGAAUUGUGGAAAUAAAUUCAUUGAGUUGAAGUGUGAAAAUGGUGAAAUUCUUCGGGUUAAUUUAGAAGAGUCAGAUAGUUCAUUUCCCAUAAUUUCUGUUAUGUCUGCUCAGAAAUGUUUGAGAAAAGGGUAUGAAGCUUAUCUUGCUUUUGUGUUUAACACUAAAGAUCCAGAAUUGAAAAUUGAAUCAGUGUCUGUGGUAUGUGAGUUUCCCGAUGUGUUUCUGGAAGAACUACCAGGUUUGCCUCCUGUUAGAGAAGUUGAGUUUGGUAUUGAGUUGAUUCCAUGUACCACGCCCAUUUCUAUUGCUCCUUAUAGAAUGGCUCCAUUGGAAUUGAAAGAAUUGAAAGCUCAGUUGCAGGAAUUAACAGAUAAAGGCUUUGUAAGACCCAGUAGUUCACCAUGGGGUGCACCAGUGCUAUUUGUGAAAAAGAAAGACGGAUCGAUGAGAUUGUGCAUAGAUUAUGAGCUAGUGAUCGAUUAUCACCCAGGUAAGGCAAACAUUGUUGUUGAUGCUUUGAGUAGGAAAUCUUUAUUUGCAUUAAGAGCUUUGAAUACUAGUCUAGCCUUAUCAUAUGAUGGUUUUAUCUUAGAUGAGUUGAGAGCUAAACCGAUGUUUCUUGAAGAAAUUUGUGAAGCUCAAAAAAAUGAUAGUGAGUUGUUAGCCAAAAGAGAUCAGUGUGAGUCGGAUAUAGAGUCAGAUUUUCAGAUUAGUUCUAACGGUUGUUUGAUGUUCAGAGAUAGGGUAUGCGUACCGAAGAAUGAUGAGCUUAUUCGAAAGAUCUUACAGGAAGCACAUAGUAGUUCUUUGUCUAUCUAGGUAGUACAAAGAUGUAUAAUGAUUUGAAGAAAAUGUACUAGUGGGUAGGAAUGAAAAGGGACAUUUCAGAGUUUGUUUCUAGAUGCUUGAUCUAUCAACAGGUAAAGGCUGAACAUCAGGUUCCUUCAGGUUUAUUGCAGCCUGUGCUAGUGUCACGGGGCUAGACCUUUCGUCUCGCAAUCCGUGCGGCCUUAGGCUAUUCGCUCGUCCAAACUCACCCAAGUCAGCCUUUACUCAAAUGAGGGUUCCUUAAGAACUCCUCCAAGGCACCAACUCGUACAGCGGAAGCAAACUUAUGCCAAAAGAAGCUUAAAAGAACAAUAGAAAGGGACGCUCGCAAAGUGUUUGAGUAAAUGCUCUCUAUUCGCUUAUUCACAAAGAAUAAUGAAACAAUGAAUGGAGUGAGUACAAAUGAGGGGGAGGCUCUCUAUUUAUACUUGAGCUCCCCCAAAACCGACGGUCAAGAUACAAUUACAUCGACGGACGAGAUUAACCAAUCCCAUGAUUUAAGGGAUUUUACAAGAUAUUGCCAUAUCAAAUCCUAUCUAAUCUUUACAAGAUAUGAUUCCCUUUAUCUUUAAAGAUUAGUUACCAUAGUUGCCUAAGUUGCCAUAUCUUCGCUAUCGGGCCAACCAGGCUUCAAUCUGACAGGCUUCUCCAAUAUUUCCUUGAAUCCGGCCAGCUCUCGUGGGCCAAAUGAUCCCCAUCUAAGUAAUAGACCUCCAUCAGAUGCAUUUGGUUCGAUGGUCACGGGCUUUGAACUCUAGCCCGUGACACUAGUCCCUAAGUGGAAAUGGGAUCGAGUUACUAUGGAUUUUGUGAUAGGAUUUUCGUUUACACCGAGAAAGAAAGAUGCAAUAUGGGUUAUGAUUGAUAAGUUAACGAAGUCGGGUCAUUUUAUCCCAAUUCUUAUGGAUUAUUCACUUGACAAGUUGGCCGAGUUGUAUAUUUCAGAGAUAUUUAGACUACACGGGGUACCAUUAUCGAUCAUUUCAGACAGAGAUCCAAGAUUUACUUCACGGUUUUGGAAGAAAUUACAGAAGGCUUUGGGCACAAAGUUGAGUUUUAGUACAGCUUUCCAUCCUCAAACCGACGGUCAGUCAGAGAGAGUUAUUCAGGUACUUGAAGAUAUGCUUAGAUGUUGUGUACUGGAAUUUCAAUGCAGUUGGGAAAAAUAUUUACCAUUAGUAGAGUUUGCCUACAAUAAUAGUUAUCAGUCGAGUUUGAAGAUGGCACCUUAGGAAGCUUUGUAUGGAUGUAAAUGUCACACACCUUUGUAUUGGACAGAGCUUAAGGAAAAUCAGAUUUAUGGGGUUGAUCUAGUUAAGGAAACAGAAGAGAAAGUAAAAAUCAUCAGAGAUUGCUUGAAAGCAGCUUCAGACAGACAAAAGUCGUAUGCAGAUUUGAAGAGAAAAGAGAUUGAGUAUCAAGUUGGUGACAAAGUUUUUUUGAAAGUAUCCCCGUGGAAGAAAGUUCUCAGAUUUGGCAAGAAAGGCAAACUAAGUCCACGUUUUAUUGGACCGUUUGAAGUGAUUGAGAUAGUCAAACCAUUAGCAUAUCGGUUAGCUUUGCCAAUUGAGUUAGAGAAGAUUCAUAAUGUAUUUCAUGUGUCUAUGCUACAUCGUUAUCAUUCAGAUCCGUCACAUGUGAUUUCUUAGACAAAGGUUGAGAUUCAGCCAGACAUGACUUACGGUGAAGAACCGGUAAAGAUUCUAGCUCGAGAGGUAAAGCAAUUAAGGAACAAAAGUAUUGCACUUGUGAAAGUAAUAUGGAAUAGACAUGGGGUAGACGAGGCUACAUGGGAACCCGAAGAGGCUAUGCGAAAACAGUACCCAAAUCUCUUCACAGGUAAGAUUUUCGGGGAUGAAAAUCCCCAAAGGGGGGAGAAAUGUAACAUCCCGAAAUAGGGCCUAAACGGAACAGUGGUUGCGAAACCACAAAUUCGAGGUAGAAAAAUUUAUUACAUUAUUAUUUUAAGGUUCAUGAUAUGAUUGCAUGAUUGUGUGAAAAUUUUGUGAUGAAAUUCUAUGCAUAAAGUGCUUAAGUUGAGAUUAGGGACUAAAUCGAAUAAUUUGCAAAACUUGCAUUCUAGAAGUUUUUAGUAUGAAAUUGCUUUGGAAUAUUAAUUAGGAGGGUUUAAAUAAAAAUUUUACCAAUUUCUAAGUUCAUGGACAAAAUAGGACAUGGAUGGAAUUUUUGAAAGUUUAAUAAGGAAGGGCAUUUUGGUCAUUUGGAUAUUAAAUGAAAUAAAAAGGGAAAAAUAACACAAAAUUCAUCAUCUUCUUCAUUAGCACGAAAUUUUAAGGGUUCUCCAUAGCUAGGGUUUGUUUCAAGCUUUCAAGCUCCAUAGUAAGUGAUUCCAAGCCCCGUUUUUAAUGUUCUUUACGUUUUCGGAGUCCCGGUAGCUCGAUAAAGCUUAUGCUAGCAAUAAUUUAAGUUAGGGUUCAUAUUUGGAAAAAUAACCAUAGGUGAAAAGUGUUUAUUUUGAUGUUUUAUGAUAGAAUAUGAGGUUUUAAAUUAUGUUAGACAACUUGUGCUUCUCGGUUUUAAGUGAAAACGAGUAAAAGGGCUUAAUUGGUAAAAAUACCUAAUAGUCAUAAGUACAUGUUAGAGUGUGAAUUUGAUGUUGUCAUAGAAGGGAAAAAUGAUCAGCAUGUCAUAAAACAUAAGAAAAUAGGAUGAAGUUUAAAUUACGAGUAUUGGGGCAAAAGUGCAAAUAUGUGAAAGUUUAGGGGCGAAAAUGUAAUUUUUCCAAAGUUUGGGUCAAGGACUGUUUUGAUAAAUGUGAAUAUUAAAUAAGUUAAAUUUGCUAUUAUAGAUCAAGAAGAGCAAAAUUCGGGAGUAGAUCGGGGAAAAGAAAAAGUAAAGGACUAAAUUGUAAAGUUUAGUCACAUUUUGUAUCGAGGUAAGUUUACAGUAAAUAAAUGCAAUAUUCUUUUAUUUUACAUUAUUAUUGUCAAUUUCUAGCAUUUAUAUACUUAUUUUCUUUGAAUAUUUAAAGUCGAAUUAAAGGCGAAGUGACAGAGAGAAAGCAUUAGGAAGCCCCGUUUGAACCUUAGGAAUGUUAGGAUAUUGGUGUUGACAGGACAGGACAGGACAGAAAUGAGCCAUGUAAGUCCAUAUCAGAUAUAUGGCUUUGGAGACAGGAAUGAGCCAUGAAAUCCCAUAUUACAUAUAUAUAUGGCAUUGGAGACAGGAAUAAUUCAUGUAAGUCCAUGUCGAAGAUAUGGCAUUGGUAGGAUAUUGAUAGACAGGAACGACCCUAGUAUCCUUAGUAUUCCGAGUGGUUCAACGGGUCAUUGUACAUGUUAAAUUACAGUGAAUUAUCAGGAAAAGGGAAGGUAGAUUAUAUUUAUGAAUAGUGAAAGGUCAGGUAAGAAAGAAGGUAAGUGAGUAAAGAAGAAGGUAGAAAAUGAGAAGUAAAGAAUGUUUAUGAGGCUAGGUGACAUUAUGUAUAAUUAUUCAUUAUGUUGAAUGUUGUAAUUUAUUUGCUUGUAAGCUUACUAAGCCUAGUGCUUACUCUCUUUAUUUUCUUUUUCUUAUAGUUUUUAUCAAGCCACUCGGGGAUCGAAGGAAACGUCGAAGACCCGAUCACACUAUCGAAGAAAUCACAUUGGUAUAGUUAGACGUUUCGUUUUGUGUAUGGCAUGUAUAGAAACUUGGUUUCUUUUGAUAUGAUAUGAUCAAUGAAUGAUGUGUAAAUACUUUCUAGUGAUUAGCUAAUAGAGUGACUGAUGAUAUACAUGUUUAAUAGUAUGUAUGAUUAAGUAGUAACUAUCACAUGAAAACUAAGAAAAAUGUGAAAGUAACUUAAAAACAGAUUCAAGUAUCAGAAAUAACGGGAUUUUGAAAAAUCACAAGAAAUUGUAGAGACAUAGGUUGAUGGUGAAUAAUAUAUGAAAUUAAAUCUCAUUGUGUCUAUUUUCAUAUGAAAUAAGCAAAACAGGUAAAGGUUUUGUAUUUUAUAGGGUAUCUGAGUUUUGGUGAAAUAAGGCCAGAGCAAUUUCUGGAUCCCCUAUUGCAACUUUAGAAAUUCACCAUAAAUUUUACAAAAAUAAUUAUGUGGUUUACUUUAUAUGGUUAGAAUACUUAUUGAAUCUAGUUUUAAUAGAAACAAACGUUAUAGUCAUAUGAUUUUUUUACAGAGAGAAAAGUGGUUCGUAGUAAGUAGAGGCUAGUGGAGUCAAAUUCUGAAACAGGGGUAACUUUAACUAAUAAACUGUACGAAUUGGAUAAGUAAAAAAUUCUAGAAAAAUAAUUAGUAGAUAGAUAUAUGAGUCUAGUUUCAGGAAAAAUUUACGGAUCUUAAUUUUGAGUUUUGAAACUCGAGAAAUGAAUUUUUAAGCAACCAUGAUGCAGAAAACUAGUUUAUUCCAAAAAUUAAAAUAAGUGGUUUAGAGUUGUUUAAAAGGUAAGAUAAGUUUAGUAACACCUCAAGCUUGACUCCGGUGACGGUUUCGGGCGUGGGGGUGUUACAUGUCCUACUCGGCCACGACCAUAGCCACCACGAUAACUUCUUCGCUUGGCACUGUGAUUAUGGAACCCAACCUCGACCACCACCUUCACCUCUGCCUAGUUACACAUGCACUCCAUCUCCAAUGUUUAUAAAUCCGCUUUCGCUAUUCCAAGGACUACAUCCAAAUUCAAGGCAGUUUCGGUUCUCCCCCUCUUUCACGAUAUUAUGCUUAUAUUGUUAUUAUCUAUCUUUGUACAUUAAGGACAAUGUGCAUCUUAAGUAUGGGGAGGUUAUUUAUAUGAUUAUCAGAAAAUCUCUGAAUUUUUUAUCUUGUUCUCAAAUAAUUUUCUCAUAUUACUAUUAAAGUGAAUUCUGAUUGAUUUAUAAUUUUUAUUGAUAUGUUUUGAAUUAAAUCAUAGGUAAUUGUGCAUUGAGUGUUUAAACUUUAAGACAUUAGAGAAUCAAGCAUGAUAAGUUGACUUUUGAGAAUUAAAAUUGCUAGGUUGUUUCCCUGAAUUAAGGUAUUUUCUUAAAGUUUGAAUUUACAAGAUUGACAUCAAAUACCCAUAAUUUUCGUGAGAUUUUGAGCCUUUUAGAGCAUAUAUCUUUCUUGCUCACUUAUUUUAUUGGUUAUAAGUGUGUCAACAUUAAUUUGUUAUUCUAGAACUUGCUUCGAUUAUGCAUGUCAAGACCACAUCUUUGAUUUGAUAUACUGAGAUGAUAUUCCACAAAAAGCCUACCCACAUAAUUGACCCUUAGUGAACCCCUUUGAGCCUUAAACACCAUUUCUUGAUAUUCUCCCAUUAAAUGUUAACCCACAACUUAACCCUUUUUGAUUCGUUAAGAAUUUCUCUCUUUUUAUUGACUUCCUUUUUAUCGAGAUUUGAUUUGAUCAGUUACCUAACUAUUUUUGUCUAUUUCAGUUGCUGAAUUAUUUCUUAUUAUGUACUUUCUACUUUUUUUAUUCUUAAAACAAAAACCGUAUAUUUAUAUUCAUAUAAUUACAUAUUGUCAUAAAGAGCUUGGAUAAGUAAGAGUUAUUAAAUUGAGAAAAAGCUCACUUCAUUAGUUUUGGAUAGUUUUAAUUCUGGCACUUGUUUGUAAUUCAGUAAUUAGCUUUUUUUUCUAAGUUUGUUGAUUUAUUAAAUUAAUCUUGAUUCUAAUCCUCUUUUUUAGCGUUUAUCUACACCUUUAACCCAAGCCCCAUUACAACCUUGUUAAAGACCUUUUGAUUUGUGUAUCAUCUCAGUUAUAGUGGUGGAGAUUUGAUUUUCAUGCAAGCCAAUAGUAAUAACAUUUCAUGUUUGACUAUUGAGUGCUUAAUUUUUGAACCAUAAACACUUUGAGUGAUUUGAGUGAAUCUUUAGUAAGGAUGUCAACCCUUGUCGAUUUGAAAUUAAAGGUAAUUACUUAGAAAAAGGGGAAUAUCUAUGAUUUUAUGAUUAAAAUGCUCAAUUUGGAUUGUUGGAAACUUUAAUGUUCUUUUUGUAACACCCCUUACCCGAACCCGAGACCGGGAUAGGGUACGAGGCAAUACCGGACAAACAUACAGACAUCCAACUAAAAUACGGGCUAUAAAAUUUCACUAUUAUUUCGAAACGUUCAUUCACAUGCACCUAGUCCCUUAUUUGGGUCUACGAAGCCCAAAACAUACGUUAGGAAGGUUUUGGGACUAAAUCAAAAACUUUGGAAAGUUCUGGGAAAAUAUAGAAAAUUUUACCAUAAAAUAGAGUCACACGCCCGUGUGCCUUUGACACGCCCGUGUCCUCAGGCCAUGUAACUCUCUGUUUAUGACGUCAGCACACAAGUUGAACCACAUGGCCAAGCCACACGCCCAUGUCUCCAGGCCGUGUCCCUCACACAGCCGUGUCUCAACCCGUGUAAUUAACUCUUAGUCUAUUUUCCAAGCCUUUUUGUCACCCUAAAUGCACCCACAUGGUUUGAAUAACAUUCAACAUCCUAUAUUUUAAUACAAAUAUAUCAUUUGCCUACCAUCAUGCAUGUAAUACACAUUCUUACAUUAACCAGAACUAGAUAUACUAGAUCUUGUUCUCAUUUUAUACCAAAACUAGACAUACCAUUUCACUUUCAUUUGGCCUUAUCAAUUAUAUUACCACUUAUACUCUCAUACCACAGUUACCUUCAUGUCAAAUAAUCUUAACUUAACAACAAACUUAUAUAUAUAACUAAGCCACGUCUUUAUAGAAUACCGACAAUUCACAUACAUAGAACAACAUGCUUGACUAAGACAUUUCACACCAAUUUCAUGUUGAACAAUAGUAUUACUUAUUCUUACCUUACACCUUUGCAUUAAGAAUAAGGUCACAUCUAAUGAUCAUAAUUUAUUCACCACAUAAGCAUGACAUAUCAUAUAGCAAUGGAUCAAGCAUGCAUAAUCAAUUAGGUUUACAACCCAAUGAUCGAAUAUAAACCAUAUCACAUGGCUAUAUACGAUUUAACCAUCAUAAGCCAAUAGUUUUGCCAAAUCAUACUAACAACUAUCAUAAAGACUAAGUCUCUAUGCAUGCCACUCACUUGAAAACACUUGAAGUUUAUUGACGCUUCACAUCAACAUUCUAAUAGUGUGAUGCUGCCUCCGACAAUCUCCAACCCCGAGCUGACCUGCCAAUACUAAAAGAAAUGGAGGGAGGGGUAAGCUUUAUGCUUUGUAUGUCCAUAUGAAAUUAAUAAGCAAUUUACCAAUAUGUUUCCUUAGGUAAAACAACUAUAAUUGCACUUUUAGUCAUAUUCUGGUCAAGUUGUCUACUCGAGUCAUAGUUGACAAAUUAUUUAUAACUUGAGCUACAAGACUCCAAAUUAAGAUCAGUUAAUUUUACCAGAAACUAGACUCACAUAUCUUCUUUUCAUAAAAUUUUCAGAAUUUUUGGUUUAGCCAAUUAGUACAGUUUAUUCAUUAAAUUUUCCCCUGUUUUGCUGUCCAACAGUUCUGAUAUCUCUUCACUAAAAAUUAUUUAUCUCAUACUACAGAAUUCAGAUAAUGCUCCCAUCUAUCUUUCUAGAAAAUAGAAUCAAUAAUAAUUUUAACCAUAUAAUUUAUAACUCACUAUUAUUUUUUUAAAAUUUCUAGUGAUUUUCUAAAGCUAAGACAGGGGAGUCUGGAAUCACUCCAACUUUGUCUCACAAGAACUCAAAUAUCUCAUAAUAAAAAAGUAGUUUUCUUUCCUUUAUGAGAAACAAGACUCAUUAAGCUUUAAUUCCAUAUAUAAUUCAGCCUCUAAUUCGACUUCCACUAUUUAUGGUGAUUUUUCAAAGUUGCGCUACUGUUGCGGUUCAACAUUGUUACGAUGCAAAAUCACAAUAGCUAUCAUAAAUUCAUUGUUGCUUUAUACUCAUAGGCAUGAUUUAAUAUCAUACAUGUAUCUUUCCAUAAACCAUCAUACUUUCACCAAAUCAUAUAACAUUAUCGUUCAUAUCGAUUCAUACAUAAUACACAAGGACAUAUAUCGCCAUAAAUCAUCAUAGUCAUACGAGCACAUAAUGGAAAAUACAUACCUUUGCUUUCUUGCACAUAUACAUACCUUACUUAGCUUACGUUCAAAUUUCAUAUACAUUACCCGUUGAAUAUUUGGAAUAAUGAACAGGAUGUACAAAUGCACCGAAGUGCCAUAAUCAUAACAUAGCACGCCUCUCAAUAGGGCUACAUAAGAGCACUCGAACCUAGCAUGCAUCACAUAACCACGCCUCUCAACAGGGCUGCACAAGCUCCCGAACCUAGCGUGUAUCAUGUCAUCAAAUGAGCUCAUAUAUACAUAACUAUCCUAGUGACAUGUCACUUGUAUCCUCACUUAUUCCUAAGUUCAAAAGGGAUUUUUGGACUUUCACCUCUUUGUCGAACAUUCUCGGAAUGUUGGCCUCAUAUCAUAUGGCAUUAUCAUAUACAAAUACUAACAUGGAAACACUUAUAGCAUAAGCAUAAAACAUCAAAACAUAUUAUAGCAACAAAGUAACCAAAUAACAUAUUAUUUAUCUAAAUGUUAUUUAAACAUUUAAAACAUCAAUUAAGGUAUUUAUUUGUACAUGUACUUACAUCUCAUGUACUAUUAAAGAAAUAAUAUUAAAAUACACAUUGCAUUAUUGAAAAUCAUAUGAACUUACCUUGUAUACGAAAAUGGCCAUUUUUACCAUUUAAGUCCACUACGUUGUAUUUUCUCUAUUUUAGCCCGAAUCUCAAUUUCCUUGAUCUAACAUUACAAAUAUAGCUCAUUUAUUACUCACAAUAUUCAGAUGAGUCCAUAAAUCAUAUUUUUACAAAUUUGCAUUUUGACCUCUAAACUUUUGCAUAUUUGCACUUUUUCCCCAAGGUUCAUAAAUUAAACUUCAUCCUAUUUUCUUAUGUUUUAUGACAUGCUGAUCAUUUUUCCCUUCUAUGACAACAUCAAAUUCUCACUCUAACAUUUACUUAUGAACAUUAGGUAUUUUUACCGAUUAUGUCGUUUUACUCGUUUUCACGUAAAAUCGCUUAGCAAAAGUUGUUUAUCUAACACCCAACACUCAUUUUCUACCAUUAUACAUCAAAAUGCAUGCAUGUCACAUAUGGGUCAAUUUUUGAACAUGAACCCUAGCUCAAAUUAAUGGUAGAAAUGGGUAAAUCGAGCUAUGAGGAUUUCAAAAAUGCAAAGAACAUUAAAAACGGGGCAAAGAUGGACUUACAAUCAAGCUUGGAAAUUUUACAAACCCUAGCCAUGUCUUCCAUCUCUAUAUACAGUUAUGGCAUGAGAAAAAUGAAGAAGAUGACAUCUUUUUCUUAGUUAUUUUGGCUUUAUUUGUCAAAUUACUAAAAUACCCUUAAUGAAAAAUAAAUAAAAACAUACCAUACCAUGCCCAUUUAGUCCACUAAUUACAAAAUGGGCUAUUUCCAAUUAAGGACCUCUAAUUUAAAAACCCAUUACUCACAAGUACUUAGUACCUUUGUGUACUAGAAUACACAUUUUGCAACUUUUUACAAUUUAGUUCUUUUGACUAAAUUGAGUACCCAAAUGUCAAAAUUUUCAAACGAAAUUUUCACAAAAUUAUUCCGUGAAAUCGUAGACCAUAAAAAUAAAAUUUCUUCAACAGAUUUGUGAUCUCGAAACCACUAUUCUGACUAAGCCCAAAAUCGAGAUGUUUCACUUUUAAUUGAAAUUCUCAAUGUAUGAUUAUUUUUGAAUUAUUUCGAAACACUAUUGAUAAGAAUUAUAAGUUGAGAAGAAUGCAUUUUAAUUGUGAGUUGAGGAUUUUGCUUGAGGACAAGCAAAUGCUUAAGUGUAGGGAUAUUUGAUAAACCUCAAUAGUAACAGAUUUUAAUCCCGUGCUUGGCAUAUUUUUGGAUGACUAAUCAUAAGAUUUAGUGAAUUUAAAGCUCCUAAUCCUUUAAUUUCAUGUUUUAUAUCCAGAUGAGCAUAGGAAAGUGAAAAGUGUAAGAAAAAAGCUAAAAAAAGGGACAAAAUAGGUUUAUUUCAGUGCUGCACAUAGUCUAGACACUUCCACAUGGGUACUCCACACACCCGUGUUAGACACACGGGCAGACCACACGCCCGUGUGUCAUGGCCGUGCCGACUUAAAACCAUAUCAAAAUUGCACACGGCCUGAGCACCUUCACACGAGCGUGGCACAUGGCCUUGUCCCUGUCGAGCCCAAGUCUAAUUCUAUUCGGAAAAGGCUAAUUUUGGGCUAUUUUGGGGAUUCCAAAGUCUAUACUAGAAGAGGAUCAAGACACACGGAGGGUAGAAGGCAGAGAAUAAUCGAAGACAGUCAUCAGAAUCAGCUCAGAAGCAGGAUCUAUUUCAAGACUGAAGAUCUCUAUUCAAUUUCCUUAGAAGUUCUUUGGGUUUCUUUAUGUUUUAUUGUUUUCCCAAUUUUGAGAUGUCUUCCCCCAUCGUUAUGAACUAAACUCCCUAAAUACCUAAGGGAGAUGAAAAUUUGAAUUAUAUGAUAAAUACAUGUUCUUAUUCUUAAUUAUGUGUUCUUAAUUCUUGCUUUAAUAUUUCAGGAUAUUAAUUUCAAGUCUGAUGUGCUUAUUCAAUGGAGCAAAAAUCCCUGUUUAAGAGUAGAUCUAGCAUAAUUAGGCGGAGUUGAAUGCAAUCCUAGACAUAGCACGACAUAAAUCUUUCGGAUUAGAGUUAAAUCUAAUAAGGGAAUCCAUAAAUCGAGUUAAUGCGACAAUAGGGGAUUUAAUUAGGAAGAGAUUUCAAUUAAUCAACCUAGAGUCAGUUGUUUUUAGUCUCGAGAGAGAUAUUAACAUAAGUCAGGGAUUUCUAUGGAUUAAGUCAAGUGAAUAAAUCAUUUAAUUCAGAAGUAAUAGGUGAAGCCUAGGUGGAUUUUUCCUUGGGUAUUAUCUUCUACUUCGAUUUUCCAAAAGUAUUCUCCAACUUUUAUUUCUGUCUUGUUCUUAGUUAAUUAAAUAGUUAAUCUUAGUUUAAAAACAUCCCUUUAAUUUUUAGGCUAGAUAAUAAAAAGAUAGUAAGUACUAGUACUUUUAGUCCUUGUGGAUACGAUAUUUCUAGUCUCACCACAACUAUACUACUGUUCGAUAGGUGCGCUUGCCUUAGUCAAAAUUUUUAGUUAGUUUAGCUACUCAAAAAGGAAAAAAAACAUAAUAAAAGAGAAGGGGAAAGGAAAAAAAUAGAAUAGAAGAGAACAAAAGAAGAAAGGGAAAAACAUUUGGGGUUUAGGGAGUUAAGUUUAAGGUUUAGUUUGGGUUUGAAAAAAAAAAGAAUAGUGGAUUUUGUUUAGGGUUUGGAAAAAAUGGAUUAAGGGAUUUUGUUUGGGGUUAUAAGGGUUUAGGGUUUCAAAAAAUUCAAAAUAUUAUGAAUAUCUUAUUAAGUGGAUGUCCAUCAUGAUCAAGAUAAAGUUUUAAUGUAUUUUAAAAUUUAAUAGUUAGUAGAAUUAGAUAUCUACUUCUUUUAUACUUCUUAUGCCUAUAAAUAGAGACUCUGAUGAAGCAUUGUAAUCAUCCCAAUUAAUCAAUAAAGUACAUUCUCUAUUGCUUCUUACAUUCUCUAUUGCUUUCAUAUUUUCUUUGUUCUUUAUUCUCCCUAUCUCUCUUUAUUUUAUAACACGUUAUCAGCACGAUCUUGCUCAAAGUAAUAGUUCCUUUUAUCAACGAUCAAAUUUAUCCUCCAUGAUUUUCAGUUUCUUUGAAGGCAAGAUGCAAAGUUUUUACAGAUGGUGAAAGAUUUGUUAUCGUUAUCUAUGUGAAAUCAAGAAUAUUUUUGAACUAUCUCAUACCUUCUAGUGAUGACAAUGGUUUUAAAGAUCUUCAGGUAUAUUUUACUAUGUUUUAUUUAUUGUUUAUUAUAAUUGGAGACUAAUCAUGAAAACAUGCAUAGAUAGAUUUUGAUUUGAAAUCUCACGCAUGUUUGCGAUGGUAAUUAUGAAAUAAAGAAUCUAUUGGGAUGUUUAUAAAUAUGUCCUACUAGAUUUGUUGCAUUCCCCGAAGUGAAUGUAAAUAUAAAGAAAAUAAAAGAUAUACUAAUGGACUACUAAAAGUGGGAACAUAGUAAUAAAUAAGAGAACAAUGAGAGUUCUCAAGAAAACUCUUUAAAGGGUAAAGAUAACUUAUGUUAUCAAUAUGUGAUAUGAAAUAUUAUUGGCCACAUAUGUGGCGUAUGCCCAAAUAUUUUGUUUCUGUUAAUAGCCUUUGAGGAAAAAUAUGAAAAUGUAGGAAUGAAUUCUAUCAUUAUAGAUAGAAAAUAUUUAUCUUAUUUGGUAUUGAAACAAACAAAUAUUAUUCCAAUAUUUGAUAGUACAAAAUUAGUUAAAAGCUCCAAAAGAGCUAAUAUGUCACUAUCUAAAAAGCACAAAAUUUGUGAUGGUUAAUGCAUUAUUUUUAAAAUUUAUUUGUAAUGGAUCUCAUAUUGAGAUUGUGAAUGAGGAAAAGAUUAUAUUUCAUAUGAUUAAAAAAGGGGGAUUGAGUUAUUAAUUUAUAAUAUUUAUGAUAUUCUUUUAUCAUCAUCCCUAUUAAAGGGUUGAAAGCAAAAUAUUUGACUGUGAAAGAUCUACUCAUGAGCAAUAGAAUAUGAUAAUUCUAUCUAAAGCUUAUUACGGUUGGAUGCAUCUAAAGUUGCAAGUAUUUUUUUAAAAACUGUGAACAUAACUCUACAGUUUUCAGAAUAAAUUCUCAAUUAAAAUUACGUAGUAAAAUAUUACUAAUGAGAACUUGCAAAAGAAAAAACUUAUGUAUGAAAAGUCAUUGGUUAUGUACCUGUUAUACACAUGGAAAAUAAGAUUCACUCUCAAAGUUUGCUGUUAAUAGAUUUUUGGGCAUUUGAAUAUUUUGGCAUAUUCCCUGAAGCGAUUACUGCAUAUAAUUAUUUGAAAAUUAUAUUUAUUAACUUAGUGGCAUUAUAGAAUUCACAGUGAUUUAGACAUUUCCAGAAGUAAAUGUCACAAUAGUAUUUAAUGUGGAUACAAAAUAAAAAGAAUGACAAUAAAAUUAUCAAUUUGUUACAAUUUAGUACAAUUGAGACACAUGAUAAAGUAAACCAGAAGUUUACUAAUACAAAUGCGUUUACUACUUGGCGUGACCAAUUAGACUAUCCUAGAUCGUAUAUGAUGCGAAAAUAAAUUGAGAAUUCAUACAGACAUCCAUUAAAGAACCAAAAGAUUCUUUAAUUUAAAGAAUUCUCAUUUGUUGUUUGUUCUCAAUGAAAAUUGAGAAAAUUGAUUAUUAGAAACUCACUAGCUAAAGUUGAGAUUUAAUGUUUUGUAUUUCUGAAAUAAAUAUGGGUCCAUUCAUCCACCAUGUGGAUGGUUUUGAUAUUAUAUGAUUUUUGUAGAUGGAUCUAGAAAAUAAUCACAUGCAUUAUCAACUUGCAACCUGUCGUUUGCGAGAUUGCUUGUUUAAAUGAUUAAUUUUAGAUUAUGAAAUUAAAACAAUUCAUCUUGCUAAUGUUGGUGGGUUUACAUCCCAAGUUUUCAAUGAUUAUUGCAUGUCAAUUGUGAUAAAAGUUGAACAUUAUGUAGCUCAUGUUCACAGACAAAAUGAUUUAGCUUAAUUGUUUAUCAAAUGCCUCCAACUAAUAGCUAAACCAUUACUUAUGAGAACAAAACUUUCUAUUUCAGCAUGAGAUUCAUGCUUGUAUUGAUUUACAUGUUGUACGCAUCAAGCCAAUAAAUUAUAAAUACUCCCCAUUACAAUUAAUUUUUGGUCAAGAGCCAAAUAUUUCCCAUCUUAUAAUUUUUAGAUGUGCGAUAUAUGUUCCAACUGUUCCACCACAACGCACAAGUCAAAUAAGAGAUCGAGAAUGUAUAUUUAUAUGAGUCUCCUUGUAAUAUUUUUGAGCAAUUAAUUUGAGAUUUAAUUGUGACAUGAGUUGUCAGUUUUCCCAACAUUAGGGGGAGAGAAACAAUAACUUGUAAUGAGUUAGGGGGAGAGUAAUUGAACCAGAAGUUUAAUAAGGAUAACUCAUUACAAGUUAACUGUUAAAUGUAUUUACAAACUUAAUUUGAAUAACCAAGUGUUAUAUAGAUUGAUCGGUUCCAAAGAUGAAAAAAUUCUUCUAGAUGGUCAUAUAGUGGAGGCAGGUGCUCUAGAAGAGACCCAAGACAUAACUAAUAAGUAAAACUUCAGAAGAGAUUCAGUUACCUAAAAUUGAAUUUUAAAAUAAUGAACUUAAGAGAUCUCGAUAAAUUAUGUCAAUUCGAGAAAAUGUAAAACCGAAUAAUAAAAGUGGUCGACAAUGAUUUUGCAUGUAGUAUUAUAAUGAAAUAAAAGGAAUAUCUUGAAUAAAUCUAUUGAGAAAUAUAGAUAUAGAAUAAAUUGAUCAAAAUAGAAAGACGCAACUCAAGUACAAUUAAAUUUGUGGAGUUUUUGGACCAGUAGUCCAAAUAUCUAAAGGUAUAAAGCCAGUAAAGGUGCAUGUAAAGUAGUUUUACAAAAUCGGAAUAAAAAUAUGAAUUUUUUCGCUAAGUCCUGGCAUUGAUUAUGAAAAGAUAUAAUAUUUUUUUGUGGUAGAUGCAAUAACCUUUAGAUAUAUUAUUAAAUUGACAAUUCAUAAACGAUUUAACUUGCGUCUAAUGGAUAUUGUUACAACCUUUUAUGAAUCACUAUAUAGUAAAGUUUAUAUUAAAAUCCUUGAAGGAUUUAAAAUGCUAGAAGCAUAUUGAAAUUCUCAGGAAAUUUUUCAUUUAUAUGAAUUGAAAUAAUUAAAAAUAUGUGGUAAAUUUGACUUAGCCAAUAGUAGAUGAAAGAGGAUAAUAAAAUGAUCCAAAAUACCUAUUUGUAUUUUUAUAGAAGGAUCAUGAUUAAAGUUUGCUAUGAUUAUUGUUGAAAUUCCUAAAGAGAUCAAAAUAUGUUUCCCCAAAAUUUUCCCUCAGUCAUGAUAAUCAAAAGAAUAGUUAUAUAAAUGGUUAGCAAUACAUUCAAAUAGUCAUUUGAAAAACUAGUAUUCAAGAUUGAAUUAGUAGAAUAUGAGAAAGUAUGUUAUGUUUUCAUGAAAGGUAGUAAAUACGUGUUAUACUUUUUUUUUCCCUUAACCGAUGUUUUGUCCCAUUAGGUUUUUAAUGAGGUAACAUAUUAUGCGUACACUACAACAAAACUGACUUUUAGCGGCCUUUUUUUAGGCCUUUAGCGGAGUUUUUACAAGCGCCGCAAAAAACACCGCUAUAGAUAACGCCGCUAAAUUUUGCGUCAUUUAUUUGAAAAAACGCUGCUAAAAGUCAUGGCCUUUAGCGGCGCUUUCCCCACAAACGCCGCUAAAGGCCGUGUUCUUUAGCGGUGCUUUUCCCACAAACGCCGCUAAAGGUCAUAAAAUUUAAAAUAUAUAUAUUAUAAAAUAUUAUAAAGGUCAUGAAAAAUAUAAAAAAAUUUAAAAUUCAUUAUCAAAAUAUUGAGAAGAAUAAUGUCCAUGAUAUAAAUAUAAAAUUUUUCUAUUAAAAUUCUAUUAAAAUUCAUUAUCAAAUUAAAAUAAAAAUAAAAAUAUAGAAUCAAAACUAAAAUAAAUAAUAUAAAUUAGAUUAAAUAUAAAUAUAAAUAAAAUACAGCAAGUCUUUUACUAACAGCAAGUCCAAAUACAACAUCUUGUUUGCGAACCUAAACAACACUCAGUAAAUUAUAAAUGUUCUUCUUAAUCCUUUAACGGAAAGAUUACCAAACCAGUUAUCGUGUCGUAAUGAUGAAUAUAGAUAUCGAUAUUACCUGAAUAAUACAAGCUUGAACAAGUCAGAAUCAAAGAACAACCAAACCAGAUCAAGUGAAUCAGGCAAUGCAGAUAAAGCAUAUUCAUAUAUAAGCUAUAUGUUCAGCUGUAGGCAAGUCCAACAAACUUAGAAUGAAUGAAUUAUUAAAAAUUUUAUUAAAAAGGUAUAUAUAAAAAAAAGAGUUUAAAUGAACAGUUUGAAUCAACAGAAAAGAAAAGCUAUGAUAAUUUUGAGGACUUUCAUGCCUAGGUAAAUUAAGUUGAAAAAUUAUAAUUUGAAGGCAAAGUAUUUCAAAGAUUACUAAAAAGCAUAUCCUGUAACAACAAAUGCUUCAUCCAAAACAGUAAAUCAAAAUAAUAAAGCACCAAACUUGUAUACUGCCCACCAUUAUAAGUCACUAAAAGCAAGAAAAACAAAAUGACUUAAUUCAUGGAAUUCACGAAUGUUAACAUCAGACAUGAGUUUAAAACUUUGCCUUCGAAAGGAUGUUCAAAACUAGAAUCCACAAUAGAUCGAAGCAGCUCCGGUUUUAGCAGAAAGUCUUUGAAUCCCGAACUGUGAUUUCCAACAUACCCCCUACACCACAUAAAAAAGAAAUGAAACAAAUUAAAAUCAAAUUGCUUUACACUAAAACUAGCAUAAACUGGUAAUAAAUUGCUAACCUUUUUUUCCACCAUAAACUGGUAAAUUACGAUCCUUAAUCAGCUAAUAACUUAAACAAGAUUAAGCUUCAACAGAACUUUUGAUUUUUUUAGAACUAACAUCAUAUGAUAUAAACAACAUCUUUUACCUAUUCAUGAUUCCUAAUCAUGAAAGUAUAACUCUCCUGCAGAUUUAUUUAAUGGGAUUUUUUACUCUCGAGUAAUUUGAAGUUGGGAAUAAGAGUUGUUAAUUUCUUGACUAAUACUUUCAAACUCCAAACUAAGAAACAAGUUCUCUAAUUUCUUACUGCAAAUUCAUGAGAAAAAGAUUGUUCAUAAUUUUAUGGCAAGUUCUCUCUAAAUUCGUGUUUUCCAGUUUCCUACAUUCAAGUUUCUAUUUUCAAUAUCAUCAAAAUAUUGCAAGUGAUUUCAGAUCUGUAUUUAUCAGAAGGGCAAAUGAAACCACAUGAAUGCCUUAACAGAACAAAGUAAAACAGAGAUGGUCUUUCAAGCAUUUAGUAGCAUAGUUGUAUACAUUGAUCAUUUGGCGGAAGCCCCCGGAAAUUAGAUAAACUUCGGUAUUCCUUACCUUUAGCUUCUUGACUAAUUCUUCAAUGCCGAGCGAAAUCCUAGAGAUCAAUAAGAAGAAUAAUGAACUAGGCUAUCAAACAUCAUGUCAAAGAGAAGAUUAAAAAGAAAGGUAAACAAGAAUAAAAAAUUGCUAAUUCAUGGAGGAGUUGAUGCCUUUCAGUAGUCAUUUUUAGUAGAGGGCAAAAUGCAAUUUAGCUCUUAAUACAAAAGCCUCCAUGAUACGUUUACCCGAUAUUUUUAUAUUAAAUGCAAUCAUUAAACGCUAAUAUAUUGAUUCCCAAUGCAUUGAAGGAAAAAUUACUUUAUAUGGUAACCUUAAAGAUUAACUAUAUCUAAAGAAAGUUAAGAUGAAUUUACUAACCUCAAGAUCAGUAGCACCAUCACCAAUCAUGACUAAUGCCUUGUAUCCCUUAACCUGGAAAUUUUUUUUGGUUAGACUUAGAAAAUGAACUUUUAGCCGGCCAAUACAAAAAAAGCCACAAGACUCACCUUUCUUAUUUGCUGAACAGCAGUAGCUUUUCCUCCACUCCUCGAAGUGGGCUCAUUAGCAUCGAAUCCCAAAAACUCCCCGGAACUUCCAAAGAGCAGCUGAUUGGAAAAAUGUUUUCUUGCGAAAUUCCAAGGAUUGAUGCAACAGGCUACAAAAACGCUUCUCAAUUAACUAUUUUCUGGCAGUAGUUGGCCAAUGGUUAACCAUUGGAAGAUUAUAUUAAUAUACAAUAACAUGGCUCUCUCAACAGUAACGAACCUACAUGCUGUACAAUGACUCUUACUGAUGACAACAUUACCCAUAUCACACUUUCAUAAUUUUAUAUCUAAUUGGUUUUUCAGAAGUCACCAUUUGCUGCAUGUGUAGUAUCUAAUGUCAAGUAAGGAUUGCCAUUUCGUGUUUUCCAAUUUCCUACAUUCAAGUUUCUAUUUUCAAUAUCAUCAAAAUAUUGCAAGUGAUUUCAGAUCUGCAUUUAUCAGAAGGGCAAAUGAAACCACAUGUAUACCUUAACAGAACAAAGUAAAUCAUAGAUGGUCUUUCAAGCAUUUAGUAGCAUAGUUGCAUACAUUGAUCAUUUGGCGGAAGCCCCCGAAAAUUAGAUAUACAUCAGUAUUCCUUGCCUUCAGCUUCUUGACUAAUUCUUCAAUGCCGGGCGAAAUCCUAGAGAUCAAUAAGAAGAAUAAUGAACUAGGCUAUCAAACAUCAUGUCAAAGAGAAGAUUAAAAAGAAAGGCAAACAAGAAUAAAAAAUCAUUAAUUCAUUGAGGAGUUGAUGCCUUUCAGUAGUCAUUAUAGCUUGUAUGGGAAUUAAGGAUUAUCAAGCACAUAAAUGCUACCUAGAAUAUCAAACACAUUGAAGAAGAUGCCAAUAAGCAAGGCUGACAAUAUUUGAAUUGAAGAAUUGGAGAAAUUUUAUAGCCAAGAUAACAAACCCUUCCUUUGUACUUCUUAUCACAUUACAAUCAACAAGUUAAUAUGUAAAAUUUUGGAGCAAUUUCCAAAGUAAGAGAUUGACAAAAAGAGACCUGCAAGUCAAAGUUUCAUGCAAAUCAAAGUUCUAAAACCUCAAGUCCAAGUACUGCAAUGAACAUAUAUUCCAUUUUUCAACUAAAUCCAAUGAAGAAAAAACCUUUAAAUCAUAAGAAAACACACACACACACACACAGAGAAAUACCAAUUGGACUGAUAGUUGAUCCUCUUUCAGUUAAGACCAAAACUGCUGGUCCUUGUACUUUUGGUUGCUCAUCCUAACAAAACAAAACAAAAACAUACACCUACUCAUCUCAUGCCCCAGAUAUUCGCCAAAGCAAUUAUAUAGUUUUAGAUGAACUAUUGCUGCCAAAAUUGUGCAAAUAAUAAACCAAGCUCAAAAUCAGAAUCAAGAGAAAACAAAGGUGUACCAAUUUAUGAGCUAAAAACAAACAGCAACUAUGAAAAUAUCAGCCACAGAACAUGCUUGUUAGAUAUAUCAAAAAUCAAUAAAUACUAUCUCCGUGCGGUGAUUUUAGAAUUAAAAAGAAAAUGAGAUCGAACAUAAAAGAUUUAAACAAAAAAACAGAGAUGAUGCUGCCUCCAUCCAAUUCAGACAGAUCUAGCUUAGUCAAUCAAAAAUAAAUCUCAAAACCACAAAUACCCAUAAAGAUCUCAAUGAACACCAGAUCAAAACAUGCAGAUAUAUCAAAAGGCAAACAGAAACCCAAAAACCCAGUAUGGGAUCAAAAGAAAAUUUUUAUUAAAGAAAUCAAAUCUAAAGAAAAGGAAUAAAAGAAAGGUACCAAAUGACUAGAGAGGAUGACUUUAGAGCCAUGACCGAUCAAUUACUUGAUGGUGGGAACAGCAACACGGAUCCUUGUGUCAUCAGUUAUGUUGAAGUUAUCAUCCAAUGGAACGUUCAGAUCGACUCUAACAAACACUUUCUUUCCCUUCAAAUCAUUUUCCUUCAAGUCCCCAACGCUCUUCUUUGUAGCCAUGGUAGUAGCACUUCUUCAACAACAACCAAACGUAUAAACAACGCUACACCCGAAAAAAGGAUUAGAGAACCUAUCUGCAAAAUCAAUAAGAAAAUGGGAGUAUUCAAAGUGAGAGUACUUACGAAGACGAGAGAGGCAGAUAUAUCUAGACAGUGAAAAGAAACGAAUGAUCGAGAGAAAAAGAGUAACGAGAGAAAAAGAGUAGCUAAAUUUUAUUUGGGGGAUUUAGGGUGAGUGACAUAGAUGAGAAGAAGAGGGAAUUUGGGAGUGAGCGGGAAUUUUUUGGGAGUGAGCGGGUAAGCAAAAUUAAGCUAUAAUGGCCUUUUUUUGGUAAAAUUAUGGAUUUUUGUGGCAUUUUCAAAACAAACGCCACUAUAACUCAAAUUUUUUGCGGCGUUUUUACUAAAAAUGCCACUAUUACUUAAUUUUAAUUUUUUUUUCAUUUUAACAUAUUUUUUUCUAUUUUUUCUUUCACAAUUUUUGUGCUGAGAUUACCAUUUUUUGGAAUUUUUUUAAUUUUGAAUAUUGAACUUUUUAACUGAAAUAUGGACUAAAAUAUUAAAUAUUAAAUAUUUAAGUUUUUUUAUUUUUUAAAUUUUAAAUUUUAAAUUUUAAAUUUUAAAUUUUAAAAUUUUUUUGAAGAUUUUUAUAAUUUUUAAAUUAUCGUAUAAAAUACAAAAGGAAACUUUAACAGAAAUAAAAUGAAAUUGAUGAAUUAAAAAAAUAUAAAAUGACACAGCAAAUUUAAUUGUUUAUCAAAAUAACCAAGCCGUUGUAGUAGAAAAUGUGGUAGCUAGAAUAUGAUAUUCAAGUAAAAUAAGAUGAACAUGGUGAAUGUUGUUACUAACCUAAAAGUGAAGUCAACCUUGUUCGGAGGAAUCGACAACCUCGUUUAAUUCACCAAAUAUAUUCGGGUAGCAGAGGGGACACUCGAUGGCUAUGCAGCAGAUGCAAAGGGAGAAGGCGAUGGAGGGGAUGGGUUGCGAUGCAUGGGGCGAAGGCGACAAACAAAAACGUUUAAGUUAGAACUUUAUUUUGUUUGUAAUGAAACAUCGCCGUUCAAAUCGAAUUUUAUCCCUUGUUGUUAAACGUCAUCAUUUAAGCCAAAUGGUAAUGCAAUUUGGUGGCGUUUUUAGAAGCGCCACUAAAUGCUUAAUACUAUAAACUGAAACUGCAUCGUUUUAGUCGACUAAAAACAGAAUUUGCGGCGUUUUCUGGCUAAGCGCCACUAAAUUUUUUUCCCCUGUAUGGUGCCGUUUGUACAAAUUUUAAUACAUUUUAAUGCCUUUUUUUGUUUAUCAAUUUUUUUUAAUCUAAUAUUUUAAAUAUGUUUAGAUUAAAUAUUUUUAAAUAUAAAAGCAUUAGUUGGUUGAUUGUAUAAAAUUUUAUCAUUUAACAAAUCUCAAGUUUAUCUAUUAUAUAUAUAUAAGUUUAUCUAUUUUCUCUUAAAUAAUUUAAACUAUAUUCAUAAUUUUAAUAUAUUAAAUUUAAUAUUAUCUCUUUACAAUUAUAUAAUAAAAUAUUUAAUAUAUAAAUUAAAAAAACUAAUUAAUCUAAACCCUAACCCCUAACCCUUAACCUCUAAACCCUAAGCCAUAAAACAUAAACCCUAAACUUCUACCCCUUACCCCCUAUCAUCUAAACUUUAAACGACUAGAGUUUAGCAUAUAUUUUUAUAAUUUUGAAAUGAUUAAAUAAAAAAUUUUCCAUUAUUCAAAGGGAUGAAGUGCAAUUUUACCUUUAAAAUUUUUAAAAAUUUCAAAAAAUCGAAAUGGAAAAUUUUUCAUUUUAGAGGGGCGAGACCCUUUCAACCCCCUACUUAUGCCCCAAAAUAUAUAUUAAUUAUAGGGUUUAGGAUUUAAUUGAAUAUGAUUCACUUGAGAUUAACAUACUACCCAUGGCCAUUAAACCUUAAACCAUAAAACCCUAAACCAUAGACCUUAAUCCUUAAAUAUUAAACCCUAAACCCAAAAAUAAAUUUAAUCAAUAUUAAGUAUUGCUUCCAUAAUUUAUUAUGAACAUAAGCUUUUACAAUAAUAUCUAUGUAUAUACACAUCAACAUCCAUAUGAUGUUUUUUAGGGUUUAGGGUUUUAGAGGUUAUAGAUUAGUGUUUAGUGUUUUUUAGGGUUUAGGGGUUUUAAGGGUUAUAGAUUAGUGUUUAUGAAUUUUUUUGGGUUUAGGUUUUAGGGGUUAUAUGACUUUUUAUGGCGUUUUGAGAAAAAACGCCGCUAUUGCUCUAUUUUUAGCAGCGUUUGACCAAAAACGCCGCUAUUGCUCUAUUUUUUAGCUGCGUCUGACCAAAAACGCCGCUAUUGCUCUGUUUUUUAGCUGCGUUUUACCAGAAAACGCUGCUAUUGCUCUAUUUUUAGCGACGUUUUUGGUAAAACAUUGCUAAUGUAUAAUUUUUGCGGCGUUUUUUGAUAAAACGCCACUAAAAACGCCGCUAAAGCCCUAUUUUCCUGUAGUGGUAUUAUAGAUCGUGUACUAUUUUUCCUUCAUUAGGUUUUCAUCCCAUAAGGUUUUUCCUAAUAAGGUUUUAAUGAGACACAUUAUCUACUAAUGGACAUUCAAGGGGGAGUGUUAUGAAUAUCUAAUUAAGUGGAUGUCCAUCAUGAUCAAGAUAAAGUUUUAAUGUACUCUAAAUUUAAAUAGUUAUUAGAAUUAGAUCUCUACUUCUUUUAUUCUUCUUAUGCCUAUAAAUAGAGACUCUGAUGAAGCAUUGUAAUCAUCCCAAUUGAUCAAUAAAGUACAUUCUCUAUUGCUUCUUAUUUUCUUUAUUGCUUUCAUAUUUUCUUUGUUCUUUAUUCUCCUCAUCUCUCUUUAUUUUAUAACACAAAAGAAGUUUUUUUUUUUAGUAUUUAUACAUUUUUGGUUAGUUUAGUGAAAUUUUUUUAUUUAUUGGUUAUAAAUGUUAUUUUUUUUGUCUAACCAUGUUAUUUUAGAAAUGUUUUUGAUUAAUUUAUAUUCUGAUUAAUUUUUUUUUAUUUUUGUACAGUAUUAUUUUGAUAAGAAAGGAAGGUUUUUGGUAGGUAGUAUUUUGGUAAGGUAUGUUUCUAUUUUAUUUUUUGAUUCAUAUGUUUUUUUUUGUUUUUUUAUUAGAUUCAAAUAACAACAUUAGUCUUAUCAGGUUUAUUAUGUUGAGAUAAUUUUUGUUGUUUUAACAUUUUUUUUAUGUAGGUAAAAGAUGGAACCAUUAAGUUGGAAUUUAUGAGAUAUUUUUUAUAUUCUUUAUUAAGUAGUAUAAAAACAUUUAUUAUAUACUAAAAUAGUAUGGCAAAAAUGUGAUGUGCACCAAACUCUUUAGUAUUUUUAUAAUUAUAUUAUUAGUGUACUAUAUUUAUUGUAUAAUAUUAAUGUGCUUUGAUAAUUAUUUAAAAUGUGAUAAUUAUUUUUUGUUAAGGUGUCUCAUUUCUAUAUUUUAAUAUUUCUUCUAUUAUAAUUGGGAUAAAAAAGGCCCAAAUAGAAAUUAGUUACUUAUCGAAAUGUGUUUUUUGCAACAAACUAAUUGAACUCAAUUUUUUUCUAGGUUGUAGAUAUCAAAAUAGGUUCUUUGAUUAAAGAUGAUAAUCACGUAUCGAAAACGGUUAAUAUGAUGAUAAUAAAAUUGUUAUUUCUUACCAUAUAAAAAGUUCCACAUCAUUUACAGAUUUAAACUAGGUUAUAUUAACCAUUUUUGUAAUUUAAUAGUGUUAGGGCCCGUAUUACGCAUUGAGGGGUCGUGUGAACAGUUUAUGAUAUCUGCUGAAUGAAUAACUAAUGUCAUACUUUGAGUUAGCCAGAUUCAGAUCAGCGGUAUUGAUCUGGACAUUUGAUUUAUGGUACGACUUAAUUUCUACUUUGGUCGAGCGAUGGCGCCUGAAGACCCACACUUUACAUUUGUUAUGUGGGCAGUGCACCAUCACUCUGGAGGAUGUUACACUACAACUUGAGCUCCCAUUCAACGGUAGUACUGUAACAGGCAUAAGUGCGAUCUCUAAGCCAGUCACCCUUUGCUAUAACCUACUGAGAGUCUCGCUCGAUGAUGCCGAGUUGAAAUUUUUGGGUUUGAGGUUUUCAUGGCUAAAGGCCAAUUUCAAAUAUUUACCGAUUAAUGUCACUGAGCGAGAUGUGAUGUGUGCCGCUCGAGCAUACAUUAUGCACAUUAUAGGAGGUGUACUCAUGUCUGAUGCAAACAACAACGAGGUCCAUUUGAUGUAAUUACCUUGUUAAUUGAUUUGCAUAACGUCUAUUCAUAUAGUUGGGGUUUCGCAGUACUAGCUAUGUUGUCUCGCGAGCUUUCUCGGACAAAAAAUCCUUCUGCUAUGGGCAUAGAUGGAUGCCUCAUAUUGUUGUAGUCUUGGGCAAUUUACCGGAUGCUAUUCUUGGCGUCGGUUAGUCACGAAGCAUAUGUCUUUCCACUUGUGAAUAGGUGAAAAAAAUUUGUCCCAUUAUAGCAAUUAUUUGACAUUUCUUUUUUAAUGAUAUUAUUCUAACAAGUUUUUUUUUGUAGAUGGAGUACUAAUUCGGGUAUUAAGAGGUCAUACACGGUUUUGAUAUACCGUCUGAUGAUUAAGACACAUGCUGGGAAAGGGUUAAGUUAUUCCAAUAUUUGUGACAUGUAAUUACUUUAUAUAUCUUACUCGAACCGUGUUAAUAUAGCCAUGUUAUUAAUUGUGCAAUUCAUCUUGAUGCCCUAUUCCUUCCCGCAAAUUGCGACUGUGAUUCCCUUGUCUACCCACAUCCAUUCACACCUGUAGUGCAUUAAUGCACCCAUUAUCAAUUUCCAGACAGUGGAGUAGUAUAAUAGAGAUUGAGUACUUCGGUAGUCCAGAUGCGUACAAUAUAUCCCGGCACCGCCAGUGCAAUUGGGGAAAAUCCACGGGAUUAUCAAGAGGGGAAAACAUGGACAUAAUUAGAUAGUAGUGCAUCAACAAUAUAUUGCAGUGUGGAACAACUAGAUGGGGCAAAGACCUCAGAUGGAUCUCUCUUUUGAUUUGCAGCGCUCGUUACAGAACAUACAGUAGUACUCUAAGAAGGGGAAACUAUAUUUAUUCGGUGGGCAAUCUCGACUGUAAUCCCCUCGUGCAUGCCAUGCCUUGGGCAAGUCACCCAUCCCCUUCCACAUCCGCCUCCUGCACCCGAGCCAGAGCCCUUGCUUAAACCCUAGCCAAUGCUCGAACCUGAGCGGUCUCAUACACAGUUUUGGAAUAGUUUUUAUCAUCUAAACCUAGGGGUCAAUGACUGUUUCUCGGGCUCAUCAGACCACGAAUAUCAUUUAGAGUUUCCUAGAUCCAGUUCUGAUAUACUUGAUCCGAUAUCAUCGAUGACGUUUGAUAUCUUUAACCCAUUACCACCACAGUACCCCUGUCUUUCCAGGCAAACGUUUGGGGCAUACGAUUUUUCCACUAUGUUUAGCAGACCCCUAGGUUCGGGUGAGGACCAUGUUGAUCACCGCGAGCACUCGUAACGUGAACAUUGACCAUCACAACAAUUUAUCCCUAGGACCAUACCAUCAAACUAUUAAUUUUAAGAAUUUCUGUCAUAUCAAUGGUCAAGUUUGUAUGUAUUUAAUUGUAGUAAAAUUUGAGCAUUUAAACUCAUUUUUUACUUAACUUUCAGGUUUUUUUUGUACUAAAUUUAAAUGAAAUGGUAUUUACGGUAUAAAUUAUCGACUUAUAUAUGUGCAAAAAUACAAACUUUGUAAUAUAAAUUCAAAAAUAUAAACUUUGAAAUAUAAAUGCAAAAAUACAAAAGUUGUAAUAUAAAUUAAAUUCAUUAGAGUACAUUGGCUCAAUUUCCACCUGACCACGACGAUUAACCAAUAUGGUAUGUUCGUUACGGGCAUUUACUUUGGCUAUGGCUAGCUAAUCUACAAACGCCACAAAGCUUCCCAUUGGUUUUCUCUCUAAUGGCCAUUUCAUUAUGGAUUCUGGUUGAUUGCAAACUUUUAAGCAACUUUUUGUCUGGGAAAAGCUUAAAAGUCAUCGUAGGCACCUCUCAUGUAGAUAGAUCAAGUAGGACGGGGAACUCAUUUUCCCAAACACGCAACAUGUACUCGAGAGUAUACACCUCAGCGAUAAACUAUUCAACAUUGAGUGAGGCGCGAGCAUAGAUUGUUACGACAUGCACACAGGGAUAAUGAAGUAUCUUGAACCUCCCACAAUCGUAUCGUCUGUUUUAGAGAUCAACUCCAUAAGACCUAGAUGGGAUAUCAGGUUGAGGACCAAUGGUCUCUGUAACUCCAAACGUUUCAAACUGUUGUGAAUAUAAUUCUUACUUCAUUAACCUAUCCCUCCAACAGUUAGCAUCCAUUACAUUCCUAACAUCUUUGACAAACACGUGUCCCGUAUUAAUCUGGUUGACUUGUUUUAGCCUCAUUCUUGGCAUCAAGGUAGCCAACCUGUAGAACUUAGUCGAGAACACAGAUAAAAUUGGAAGAUGUCGUGUGUUUUUCAACACAGAGUUAACCCCCUUUGCCAAGUUGGUGGUCAUAUGACUAUAUCGAAACCCGUCAUUGAAACUUUAAGCCCAUUGCCAUGGCUUUAUGGUACUCAACCUCUAUAAAAAAAGGAGUGUUUGUUUCACCUUGCAUGUCACCUUCAAGUCUGUUUGUAACACCCUUUACCUGUAUCCGCCACCGAAACUAGGUACAAGGCAUUACCAGACUUAAAUUCAAACAAACAUUCGAAAUCGGCGCAUGAAUUUCCACUCAAAUUUAAAACUUUUCAAAAAUGUUCACAUUGUCCCUUAAACAAGCCUACGAGGCCACAAACUUGCAAUAAGAGUGGUUCGGGACUAAACCGAAAAUUUUAGAAAACUUUCCAACACUUAGAAAAUUUUUCAUCGAAACAGGGGUCAUACGCCUAUGUGUGUAACAUCCCAAAUUAAGACCUAGUCAGAACAGUGAUUUUAAGACCACAAAUUCGAGAUAAAAAUAGUUGUUUUAUGAUUUUUAUAAGGUCCAUGAUAGGUAUGCAUGCUUGUGUGAAAAUUUCAUGGAGAAAUUCUAUGCAUACAAUGUCCAAUUGAACUUUAAGGACCAAAUUAAAUAAUAUGCAAAACUUGUGUUCUAGAAGCUUCAAACAUGAAAUUGCUUUAGAUUAUAAAUUAGAAUGUCCUAAUUAGCAAUUUGACCAAUUUCUAAAAUUUUGGACAAAAAUAGACAUGCAUAGGAAAAAUUUGAAAGAAAGGCCUUAAGGGCAUUUUGGUCAAUUAGAAAUAAAAAGAAUAAAAAGGGAAAGUUAAAGCAAAAAUUGGCUUAUCUUCUUCAUGUGGCUGCCGAAAUUCAUAAGCUCUCUAUAGCUAGGUUUUUGACAUUUUCAAGCUCAAUAGUAAGUGUUCCCUAGCCCGUAUUUAAUGUUUUUUACAUUUUUGAAGAUCCCGUAGCUUGAUUUACCUAUUUCCACCUUUAUUUUGAAGUAGGGUUUAUGUUUAAAAAUUUAUCCAUGUGUGACAUGCAUGUUCUUUGGUGUUUAAUGGAGGAAUAUGAUAGCUUGAUGUGUGUUUACAUCUUUUACUAAGUGAUUUUGCAUGAAAACACCUAAAAAGGACUAAAUUGAAAAAGGUAUAAAAUUGAGUGAUAAAAAUCUAUUUUUUAUGAGUAAUGUGGGCUACUAUGAGUACAAGAAAUAUUCGCCUAGGCUUGGGUAGUAAAGGAUAUGAGUAUAUUUCAUUAUACGAGCUUAGGGACUAAUUUGUAUUUCGUGAAAGUUUCGAGGUAAAAUCAUAAUUUUUUUCAAAUUGCAAUUUAUGAACUGAUUUGGGCAAUGUGAUAAUUAAACAAGUGGAAUUUGCUAUUAUAGAUCAAGAAAAAUGGAGUCCGGACCUAAACUAAGGGAAAAGCAAGGUUUUGGACUAAAACGUAAAGUUAGCAAUAUUUUGGGACCGAGGUAAGUUGUGUGUAAGUAAUUCAACAAUUUCAUUAUUCUGGAUUUAAUGCUUGAUGUUAUAUGAAAUGUGUGUGUAUGCCCUUAUGGAAUUUGACUUGAAAUGAUUCAAUAAAAAUUUAAUAAUAGCUUUGUAUCUCGGAAAUCUUAGGUGACCCUAAGGAAUACUCAAGAUUUGGAUGUCAUUACACCAUGAUUAAUGAGAUCUCGUGUAAGACCAUGUCUGGGACAUGGCAUUGGCAUCGAUACGAGAUCACGUGUAAGACCAUAUUCGAGAUAUGGCUUCGGCAUUGUUAAGUGAUUUCGUAUAAGACCAUGUCUGGGACAUGGCAUCGAAAUAAGGUGCCGUAUAAGACCAUGUUUGAGACAUGGCGUCGGCACUGAUUCGAGACUUCGUAUAAGACCAUAUCUAGGAUAUGGCAUCGAUGUGUGGUCCCAUGUAAGACCAUGCCUAGGACAUGUCUUUGGCACCCUAUUUGGUGUAUGAUAAUCCCGAACGCCCUUCCGUAUUCCAAGUGGCUCAACGGGCGAUUCAAGAUCAAGGUUAAGAGAUGGAGAAAUAUGAAUAAGUUAUGAGUAGUACAGGUAUGUAUGUAAACCUCAUGAGUAUGGAAUUUGAUUCUUGAUGGAAAAUUUAGCAUGAGUAAGAAUGAAUAAGAUAAGUUGUGAAGUUCAAUGACAUUUAUUGUCAAUUCUUAGUAUGUCCAUUGUGUGUAAAUUGAUAAUGUGGUGGUAAUUAGUAGCAUGUUUCACUCAUGAAAUUGUAUGAUCUAUGUUGUUUAUUAGUUACAUACAACUUACUAAGCUUUAUGCUUACCCCCUCUCUCUUUCCCUUUUUCUUAGCAUCGCCAAGCUAGUUCGGGGAUUGUGGACGUCGGAGCUCAAGUCACACUAUCAACAAAUAUUUUAAGGUAUAUUUGGUUUAAUACAUUUAAAUAUGGCAUGUAUAGGGGACUUAUUAUUUUGUUAUACAUGUCAUAUUGGUUGGCCAAAGUGAUGGCCCAUAUUGGUAUAUUAAUUCAUUUUAUACAUGGCCAUGAAGUAUGGCUCAUAUUGAUUAUUGUGUUGUAAUCCUAGAUACUGAUGCAUGCGUGAGAUGUGUUGAUACCCUUAAGGUGUGUGUUAAGUUGGUUGUUGGCAAUGAAUGAUAAAAUAUGGAAUCUAUGCUUGAUGGAUGAUUGAUGUACCUGGUUAGGUUAUAGCAUGGUUUAAAGUAAGGAAAUGUUUUGAAUGAUCCUAGUAAGUUAUGGAGUCCCAAAUAUAUAUACUUUAGCAUGUAAUUGUUAUGCAUGAGUUAAAACUAUGGAUGUUUAAGUAAGCUAUUUAUGCCAUAAUAUUCACCAUUGGCAUAUGAGGGUGUGCAUUUGUUAGUGAGGGUGACAAAAGGGCUUGGAAAAUAGUCUCAAAGUUGUCCACACGUAGACACACAGGCAUGUGUCUAGGCCCUGUGUGACACACGGUCAGCCCUAUGGGCGUGUUGUCCGGCCAUGUGUCCCUACACCUUAGAUUUGCAAGUUAGUAUGCAUGGUAGUAAACACACGGGUAGAGACACGGCUGUGUGUCUCAACCGUGUGGAAGACAUGGCCUCAGGACAUGGGCCUUUGCCCGGACCAUAUGAAGUCUGAACCUUAAAUGCGAAACUUAAAUUCGCCACACGGCCUCGCACACGAGCGUGUGACUUAGCCAUGUGACCUCUAAUUUAUGCUGACGUCAUAAAUAGAGAGUUACAUGGGUUGAGGACAUGGACAUGUCCUAGCCACACGAGCGUGUGAAAAUCACACGGCCUACCCACACAGGCGUGUGAUUCUCCAAACUUGGGGAAUUUAAGUAUUGUAAAAUUUUUAGAAGUUCUCUAUUUAGUCCCAAAUUGCCCUUGAAGCAUGUUAAAGGCCAUGUGGGGCGUAGAAGGGACAUUGUGUUUAUCUUUGAAUGUUUUUAAGAUUGGAUCAAAUUUUUAUGGCUCGGUUUGUGUUAAAUUGUGUGAAAGAUCGAUAAUGCCUCGUACCUUGUUCUGACAUAGGAUACGGGUAAGGGGUGUUACAGUGUGGAUAGGCCGUGUGGUCACACAUGCCCGUGUCCCUAACCCGUGUAACUCUCUAUUUAUGACAUCAUCAACAAAUUGAAGUCACAUGGCCAAGUCACACGCCCAUGUAUCUAGUCUGUGUGGGUGAUUUAAUUUUCCUAAUUUUUCCUAAAAUAGGUGCAGACUUCAUACGCCCUGGGCACAUGCCCAUGUCCCUGGGUUGUGUCCUUCACAUAGCUAAGACACAAGGUCGUGUCUUUGCCAGUGUGUCCAAUUCGAAGCUAAAAUUCAAAUUUUUGGGGACACACGGCCGGAUCACACACCCAUAGGGCAAGCCGUGUGUCCGUGUGCCACACACGACUUAGACACACGCCCGUGUGUCUACCUGUGUGGACAAAAAUAAAGCUAUUUACCAAGCCAUUUUGCCACCCUUUCUUGCACCAACCUACACAACCAUAAGAAACACAACUCCAAGCAUAUUCAUACAACCAAUUCAGCCAUCAACAAGAUAUCAACGCAUUAUUUACAUGAAACCAUCUACCACAUACAAACAUCACCUAUUUAUCAAAUCAAUCCAUGCAAAUUCACACAUCCAUGAAAUCAUCAUCUUAUGCAUAUAUAUAUACUUAAGCCAAUUUUAGCCAAUUUCAAUGGCCAUUUACAAAAUGAAUUAUCAAAUAACAUAAGCCAACACUUUUGGCCAACUCAACUAUGACACAUAACAAAAAAACCAAGUCCCUAUACAUGCCAUAGCUCAAACUAUUAUAAUCAUAAGUACCCAAAAUGAUAAUUUGAUAGUGUGGAUGUAACUCCAACCGUCUUCGAUCACUGAGCUGGCUUGGUGAUACUUUUGCCCCUAAACUUUGACAUAUUUACAUUUUUGUCCCUAGGCUCGUAAAAUGAAAUGUAUUCAAUUUUUUUGUUACCCAAGCCUAGAAAAAACAUAUACAUGCUCAUAUCAUCCCACAUUUUUCAUCAAAUCAGACUUUUACUACCCAUUUUACAACUUUUUUAUAAAUAGGUCCUUUUUUGGAGUUUUCAUGGAAAUUCACUUAUUAAAAGUUGUUUAUUACACAACAAACUUUUAUUUUCUACCAUUAAACAUCAAAACACAUGCAUUUCAUACAUGGGUACAAUUUCAAACAUGGACUCUACUUCAAAAUAGUGGUAGAAAUGGAAAGAUCGGGUGCAUACGACUUCAAAAACGUAAAGAACACUAAAAACGGGGCUAGGAUGCACUUACUAUCAAGCUUGAAAGUUGAAGAAACCCUACAUAUGGAGAGCUUGAGAAUUUCAGCUAUGGUGAAGAAGAUGGACACCAAUUUUGACUUUAUUUUCCCUUUUUAUUCUUUUAUUUACCAAAUGAUCAAAAUGCCCUUUUCACCUUUCUUUAAAAUUUUAUCUCUCCAUGUCCAUUUUUGCCAAAUAACUUAACAAUUGGUCUAACUAUCAUCUAAGGACCUCUAAUUUAAAAUCUCAUAGUAAUUGGACACCUCUAGCAUGUAGAACUCAACUUUUGCACUUUUUUCCUUUUGACUAAAUUGAGUGACCAAAUGUCAAAAUUUCUGACCGAAAUUUUCACGAAAUUAUUCCGUAAAAUUUUAGACCAUAAAAAUAUAAUAAAAAUAAAUUUUACUGCGUCGGAUUUGUGGUCCCGAAAUCACUGUUCUGACUAGCCCUAAAAUCGAGUUGUUACACUGGUCAUUCUUUGCCGAAAAAUGUGUGGUUCUAACUCGUACGUUGUGUAUGUAUUAAGAAAAGACAAUUUUCAAUCUCGAAUUAAUUUGUUCAAGUAUUGAUAAUAUUAAAACAUAUAUUGAAACUAAAUUUUACCCAUUUUCACAACUUGUCUCCGCAAGUCUGCAUUCUUAUACUCUCGGUGAAAGUUAGUCACGAUGUGCCAUAUACAACAACUGAUCUCCAUGGUACACCAGAAACACCUAAUGGUGAUAAUUAUUCCCUUCUCUCUAUAAAAAAUGAUGAAAAUAUUAUUGUCACUUAUAAGAUACCUUAGUAGGUUAGUGAGGAAAAAUUCUUAUGAUUCCAUGUUCUCCUUGUCCAAAAUAGAAAAUGCUAUCGCAUGCAAGUUCUUGUUCCCGUCUUGAGCAAUUGUAAUAAGUAGGAUUUGCGUAUAUUUCCCGUAUGGUUAGGUCCCAUCUACUUGCACAAGUAGUUUGCAGUGGGAAAUACACGCAUGCAUAGAUCAAACAUCUAAAACAUUCAAUGGAAAAUUCUUCUUCCUGGUUGUAGUUGGUCAUCUAGGCUGUAAUAAGGUCGUGUCUCCAACUACUCGGCACAUGCUUCCGCAUUGCAACUACCCACCCUUGUAGCUCAUUGUACGAUGCAUCACAAUCUCCGUACAGCUGCUCCGUUGCCAUCUGUUUUGCUAUCCAUGCUUUCUAGUAUGAUACUCGAUACUGGAAUCGUGCUUGCAUUUUGCCUAUCAGUACCAAAACUUUAAUGGUUGGCAUGUCCUUCACCGUUGGCAUGAUGCAUGUGCAAAUAGUUUUGGAAUCAAGUUUUCAAUGGUCUUUUGUCAUACAUGUUGAAAUGCAUGUGUGAGGCCCAACAAAUUUUAGUAUCUCCCACAUUUGUGAGUUUUGGAUAAAUGCGGCUUCUACCGACCAAUUGUAGCCUUCCGCCGACCUCCAACACUCCCUAAUAUACAAUGUUAGUUUAGACACGGCAACUUUGUAGUCUACUAACACAUUCAUGCUAUACUGCUUAAUGGAAAAUACGCACUCUUCCUUGGUUUCAAAUUUUUGACCCACGAAAAACUCCUCAGGUUCAGAAUCUACGGCCAACUAGUGAGCAGAUAGUAUAUCAGGAUACUCCGAGAACUUGAUUGGAUGCGUCGCAUCGAGGUCUAUCAGCAACAUGUGUGCCUCAGAAUCAUAGCAUACCACAAUGCAUCGAACCAGGUUCUUGACUGAAGACUCGUUAACAUUGCCAUCGUUAUUCACACCUUCGUCGUCGAUAUCAUCAGGGACCUUGUCCAUAUCGAGAUCACUAUCACCAUCAACCUCAUGAUCAGAAGGAUCACUAUUAUCAUAUCUAUCAUCAGCAUCCGUAUCAGUCUCAGGUACAGCAUUAAGAUUGAUGUCGAACUUGCGUACAGUCGAUUGACAAUCAACAUAGGAUAUCGGAACAACCAUAAACCGAUAUUAAACUCUAUGUUCUUCACAUAAUAGAGUGGGAUCUUCAGCUGGCUCCACAUCAGCUAAAUCAGCAAAUAACUGAAUCAGUGUAUUUUGGUGGCUCUAAUUCCCACAAUAAAGAGUGACCAUUGUCUCCACGUCUUCAUCAUUUACAAGUUCAAUCUCGGUGAAUUUGAUGGAAUCUGUCAAAACUGGAAACUUGUAAAAAUGUUUCCAAAUCCUUCUCCCACAAUGUCUAACAAUUUUUGCACUAAUCAUUUCCUUCAUAUCAUCAAUCGAGACAUUUCUAUUAAAUCUCAUUGCUAUUUGUUGGUGUCAUUCAAAUAUACAUCCAACUGUUGUUGUUAAAAUUACUCCAUCAAAAUAAACACAUGAAAAAUUGAUUAUCCAUUUUCAAUAUUAGAUCUGUUAAAAAAGAAAUAAAAAUUCUCAAUUUCAAGCAAAAUAAUUAAUGUAAUGUAAAAUAUGAAUUUUAUAUCUACUAACCUAGUGAAUUCUUCUUUGUUUGUUUACUAUUCUUCUACAGAUUUUUCUUUUUUUGUUAUUUGAAUUCUCAAAACUUUUUUCCCAAACACUGUUUAAAUAAUGGCUAAGAACUGGUGCUACCCACAAGAUUGGCACCACUAGUGUCGCCUAUAACAUUGGAACCAAUACUUUGGUGUCACCUUUCCCAUGGGCACCACUCCUUGGUGCUGCCUUCCUAUGGGCACCACCACUAAAACUUGUCCCAAGCCCGUAUUUAACCCAUGUAUUGGAAUUGUAUGGGAAAAAUACUUUGGUGUUGUCUAUCAACAAGGAUGCACCAUUAAAAAUUUAUUUUUUUAGCUGAAAGUGAUGGGUGUCAAAAUAUAGGGGUGAUGCUGCCUAUGCACCACCCUCCACCACCCUUGGUAUACCAUUUCCAUAAAUAAUUCAACUGGAAUACCUUUUGGAAAAUUUUUAAUUUAAUUUAUAUUAUUUAAAAAAAACCCAUUUUUGAGCAUAAUCACUACAAUCUCUUUCCAUGGUCGCCUAGAAAUACACAACCCUCAUGAUUUGUCUAGCCAUCAUAUGUCCAUUUGCGGGUGCACCAUAUACCUUAUCAUGUACUUCUUCUAAUAUUCUUUGAGCUUUCUUAGAAUCUACCCAUCUCAAUAGGAUAUGAUCUUGAUCUUUUUAUAUAACCCCUCACCAUCUAAGAAGAAACUGAUAUAUAGUCUUUUUGAUAAUCUGCUUAUCAUUUGCAUAAGCAUAUUCAGGGAAUUUCUGAAAUUUCAAGUAUUUCACAAUAUAAUAAAACUAUGGUAGUCCAUCUACUUCUUCUUCAGUGUCGGGGCAAUGAACAAACAUUCUUUUAAUUUCCAAUUUGGAUUGUCGCACCUUUACUUCACAGUUCAAUUUAUGUGCUCUUUCUUACUUAUCUCAUUUUGCUGUCGUGCGCCGCAUCGCAUUGAUCUCCCGAACACCACUAAUUAUAAGAUUAAGACCUUCCUCACACAGGAAGGAUUAAAAUUGGUGGCUUAUAUAAGUAUUUCUUAACUUUCUUCAGCCCGCUCACCACUAUCAUCCUUUCCAAGUAAUUUAAAUAAUGGAUCACAUUUCAACGUUAAUUGUGGACUCAAAUGAGAGAUAUAAUUUAAAAGUUUAAAAAAAAAAAAACCUCCUCAUAAGCAAACUAAAAUUUUAAAAUCCUACUGUAGUACUAUGGGGAGCGGUAUAUUUAAAGCAUAUUUAGUUGAACCCUCCGCCAGCCAAAAUUCCCUCCAAAAUUUCACCUAGAAUGAAUUUGUGAAAUUGGGAUUCUCUUCCCUUGGCAUCCCAAAAUGCGAACUCUAACCCUUUCCAACAUCCUCCACCAGCACUUCCCUGAUGCUCUCCAUUUUUCGCUUCUCAAAUCCUCCAAAACCCAACAAGAAACCCAACAGCUUCACGCAUUUUCCCUCAAAACCGGCGUUUUCUCUCACCCCUCACUCUCUUCUCGUCUCCUUUCUCUCUAUGCUGACCCCAACAUCAACAACCUCCGCUACGCUCGCUCCGUUUUCGAUCAAAUCCAACACCCCUCGUUGGUUCUCUGGAAUAUCAUCCUCAAAUGCUACAUACAAAACCAACAAUCCCAUGAAGCUAUCUACCUGUUCGUCCUUCUGCUUGGUCAUUUUCCGCCUGAUGAAUUCACGUUUCCUUGUGUGAUUAAGGCAUGUGCUAAGUUAACAGCUUUGAAAGAAGGCAAACAAAUACAUGGGCUGGUUUUGAAGCUUGGUUUCGGAUUAGAUAAAUUUGUGCAGGCUAGUUUGGUUAAUUUGUAUUCCAAGUGCGGCGAGAUUGGUUCUGCUUACGCAGUGUUUGAUCAAAUGGAUGAGAAAGAUUUGGUUUCAUGGAAUUCUUUGUUUGACGGGUAUGCAAGGUGUGGAGAAGUUAAGGCUGCCAUGAAGGUGUUUGAUGAAAUGCCUGAAAAGGAUUGUUUUUCAUGGACAGUUUUGAUUGAUGGGUUGGCGAAAUCUGGGGAGGUUGAGACUGCUAGAAAGAUAUUCGAGAACAUGCCAAAUAGGAAUUUAGUUUCGUGGAAUACUAUGAUUAAUGGGUAUAUGAAAGCUGGAGAUACUAAUUCCGCUUGUAAAUUGUUUGAUCAAAUGCCCACAAGAAAUUUGAUCACGUGGAAUUCAAUGAUAGGAGGAUUCAAAUUGAACUUGCGCUUUUUGGAAGCUUUGGAAAUGUUUGAGAGAAUGUUGGAGGAGGAAUUUAGGCCCACUCACGCUACGUUAGUUAGUGUGAUUUCUGCUGUCUCUGGAUUAGCUAGUCUUGGCACGGGAAGAUUGAUACAUUCGUAUAUUGUUAAAAAUGGAAUCGAAUUAGAUGGGGUGGUUGGGACAGUGCUCAUCGAAAUGUAUUCCAAGUGCGGAGGCAUUGAUAGUGCGGUAACUGUUUUUCGGACAAUAAGCCACAAAAAGUUGGGGCAUUGGACUGCUAUAAUCGUAGGCUUGAGUAUUCAUGGCAUGGCUGACCAUGCUCUGAAGCUAUUUCUUGAAAUGCGCAGAAUUGGUGUGAAGGCUAAUGCUAUAACUUUUGUUGGUGUGCUUAAUGCUUGUAGUCAUGUUGGAUUGAUUAACGAUGGUCACAAAUAUUUUAAUAUGAUGGUAAAUGAAUAUGGAAUUAAACCUACUAUAGAACAUUAUGGUUGUUUGGUGGACAUAUUAUGUCGAGCUGGUUGUCUUGAAGAAGCAAAAGAUAUCAUUGAAGAAAUGCCCAUGAGACCAAACAAAGUAAUCUGGAUGACAUUGCUUAGUGGUGCUAGGAACCAUAGAAACACAAAAAUAGGUGAAUAUGCUGCUCAACAUUUGAUUGAAUUGGCUCCAGAGACUACUGGUGGUUAUGUUGUCCUUUCUAAUAUGUACGCUGUAGCAGGUGAGUGGGAGAAAGUUUCUGAGGUAAGAGAAAUGAUGAAGAAGAGAGGAUUAAGAAAAGAUCCCGGCUGCAGUUCAAUAGAGCAUAAAGGUGUGGUUCAUAACUUUAUUGUGGGAGAUAAAUCACAUCCGCAAACAAAAGAAAUUUAUUCCAAAUUGGCUGAGAUGAGAGAGAAGUUGAAAUUGGCAGGACAUGUUCCUGACACAAGCCAAGUGUUGUUGUAUAUCGAAGAGGAGGAAGAGAAAGAAGCAGAAUUGGAAAACCAUAGUGAGAGGUUGGCUAUUGCCUUUGGUCUCAUCAAUACUGAAGCUGGAUGUCCCAUUCGCAUCAUGAAGAACCUCCGUGUUUGUAGUGAUUGCCAUUCCGUCACUAAACUGCUUUCUAAAAUCUAUAGUCGUGAGAUUAUUGUGAGAGAUAAUAGCCGGUUUCAUCAUUUUAAAGAUGGAUUGUGUUCGUGCAAAGAUUUUUGGUGAUUACCUCAGCUGUUGGCUGGUAUUAUUGCCAUCUUUCAACAGGACUGAAAGGGAAAACCCUCAUGAUAACUUUAAGGUCUUCGGGUUGUGUUUUGUCAUCACUUUUGAGGGUUUAUAGAAAUGGCUAGAUAUGUUUCUUGCGCUUUAUUUAUAUCAACUAACUGAACCAGCCUCUUACGACAAAAUAAAACAUUUGCUUUAUGAUCUCAUCUCAUUUCAAGAAAGUUGCUAUUUCAGGGAAAAAGGAUAUGGAUUUAAUGAUACAACAACUCAAAAGACUAGCAGUGAAUUACAUCAGUACACAGCAACAGAUGCUACAUAGCAAUUAAUGUUACAGCUUUCAGAGACGUAUCUAUAACCUAAGUUCAUUUUCCGGGGACAAAGUUAGUGGCAUAAGCCCAUGCAUUGUUGGCCACCGGAUCGGCAAGGUGGUCAAAGAGGUUCUCAAUGGGACCCUUUCCUGUGACAAUAGCCUGGACAAAGAAUCCAAACAUGGAGAACAUUGCAAGGCGGCCAUUCUUGAUCUCCUUAACCUUCAAUUCUGCAAACGCAUCAGGAUCAUCAGCCAGUCCAAGUGGGUCGAAAGCACCACCUGGGUAAAUUGGGUCCAGUCCUUCACCAAGUGGUCCCCCACCAACUCUGUAUCCUUCAACAAAUCCCAUGAGCACAACUUGGCAAGCCCAGAUUGCAAGAAUGCUCUGAGCAUGGAUAAGGUUUGGGUUGCCAAGAUAGUCAAGGCCGCCCUCGGAGAAUAUUUGAGAUCCAGCUUUGAACCAAACUGCCUCUCCGAACUUAACUCCAUUCUUUGAAAGAAUUUCAGGGAAGACACAACCAAGGGCACCAAGCAUUGCCCAUCUGCAGUGGAUCACUUCAAGCUCACGGUUCUUAGCAAAUGUCUCAGGGUCAGCUGAUAACCCAGCAGUGUCCCACCCAUAGUUACCAGGGAAUUCACCUGUCAGGUAUGAUGGGAUUUGGUCUGAGAAUGGACCCAAGUACUUUGGGCGGUCAGGGCCAUACCUGUUUUUAAAACCAAACCGUAGGUAAUCAGAUCAAGAUGCAGAAAUAUAGUUCAGUUGCAUGAUUUCACUUGUACAUGUUAUUUCUCUUUAAAUGUAUUGUUUAAAAUAAGGCAGAUUGCUGCUAGAAUGUACUGUACAAAUUGAAUUUUUUACAGUCUGUUGUUUCACAAUAUUUGGGUUAACCAUCAAUGAUUAGACUGAAAAGAUCCUUAUAACAAAAUGCUACUAGUUAGUACUAGGAAGUAGUAACAAGAGUAUACCAG